rnacentral:lncRNA from 1 species
CAUUCUCUCCUUUCUUUUUCAUUUCUUGCCACGAAAAUCUCGCCGUUCUCUUCGAUAAUUUAAAAACAACUCUUCUGUCUCUCAUUUUCUGACUCUUUUGUCCCCAGCAAUUAGCGUUCCAAAAUCCAACUAAUUAAUUAAACAAAUCUGUUGCAACCUUCGAAUAGAAAAGAGAGAAAAAAAAAAAAACAGUAAUGGAAUUUUGAAGCGCAUGCUUGCAACUUUCUCUCUCAUUUUUACGAUAAAAUCUUCAAGCGAGAGAAAGUGCACGAUACAAGGAAAAAAAAAUGGUUUUGUGUUAUGUUAGACACGUGGCGGUUUAGUAAUGGAUGAAGAAAUGGAGGAGCUCGUGUUGACGGCGGAGCCGAUCGUGGCGGAAGAAUUUGAAGUUGAUUUUGAUUACGAGUUUGACGCACCUCAAUAUCACGAUUUUACCCUUCCGGAAACGCCGGCUAAGGCUAGAGAAAACGAGCUCUGGUUUGAUUCCGCUGCAAGCUAUCCACCUUCGCGUAAGCAAAACACAGCAAAAGCAUUCGAAAUUUAUCGUUUCAUUUUUGCUGAUUCGUUUGUUAUUUAGAUUAUUUCAUUUUCUGAAUGGCGUUUAUUUCAGCCUUUAUUUUGAAGUUCAACUGGAGAUAUGAUUUCCCUGCGGAUACUGCAAGCGUUUCUUGCGAUUCCAGAGGAGGAAGCAUGAGUUCUAUUGGUAAUGUCUCAUAUUUUGAGACCGAUUCCGAAGCUUUCGACAUUUAUCAAAUUAAUAGAGGUAUUUUUUAUUUUAUUUUUUUAAUCAAUGAGGUACAUUUACAAAGAUGACGCUUUUUUAUUGCUUAUUUUUAUAAUGUAAAAGGAUAUGGUUGUGCAAUUAUGAUAUUUAAAAUUUCUAUGUGGCAGCAUGUGACUGAUAAUAGUUUAUUAAGGAUUGUCCCAUCGUUUUUUUUUUUAAAGCAAAUUAUUUAACAGCCUUAUUCACAUGUAUAUAUGCAUCUUCUAAACCUGAGUCACAAUAAACAAAAUGAUCUGAUUUUUACCUAAUAUAAGCGAUAGCCAGUGUUGUAGACUUCGUAGUGUUCGUCAAUAUCUGUUUUCUUUGUACAUUUUAUUCUAGGGCCAGAAUUUUGUGGUGACAUGGAUCAAGAUGUUUCAAAAUCCAAAACCAAGUCUUUUGCGAAGUCAUCUAUACAGAGGAGUUCGACUUUGAUGAAACCCACGGCAAGUUAUUUGGCCAAAUACAAUCAACUUCAAGAAUUUCAUUUCAACCAUUUUUUGAGGUAGUGUUGAUUAUUUUUUAAGUAGUACCUUUUGUGUGAUGACACUAGCAGAUUUCGCAUGAAGAUUAAAGAAAUAAAAAAAAUAAAAAGCAGUUAUUAUCAUUUUUUUUUUGGUACUAGUACAGAGCUGUGAAGUAUUGAUUGUUUUAAUCUUACAAAGAAAAGUUGCUAAGUUCUCUAUAUGUAUAUGCAGUAUAUUCACAUUUGACAGGUUUUAUAGUUUUGAAAGUUUUUUGGUAAUUUGAUUUCUUUAUUUAGUUUGGCUUUGUUUCCUUAUCUCUAAGGUUAUGCUGAACAUCUUUAGGUCUCAAAAGAUAGUCAAAUCUGACAAGAGUUCACUGAAUUCGUCUACAAUUGAAAACCUCGCUACCAAAAGACAGAAGCUGGAAGCUGGUUUCUUACCGAAGGUGCACUAAUUUAGGUCUUCAAUUUAUUAGUAUUCUUCGAUGGAUUAUUGACAAAAGUUUAAUAUCUUGAACAAUGAGUUUGAGCUUAUAAAAUGGUGAAUUAGACUUCCUUUGAAACUGACAGAUAAUAUGCUGAGACAUCAAGUUGACUGAAACUAUGAUUUAGGCCUGUAAUUGGUAUAUAUUGGUUCAAAUGCCUGCUUAAGAUUUCAUGAAAGAUUCAAAAGGAGAACGCUAUGCCUAGUAAGAUUUUAAGAGUUGGGAUUUCAAGAACUUUAUUUACUCUACUAUAUUUCAGCAAAUUAGAUAUAUUUAAGAAACCUAAGACCACUUCUUGUUAUGGUUUUGGUUUGGCUUUAGUAUGAUUACAUACUUGUAAUACGUUGCUGUACUCGUACCAUUCUCUAGAGAUGCUGGCUUUGUUCACUUUCUUUGUAGACUCUUGCUUUUUAAGAUCUAUAGGUUCAUGCAAGUUCUCAUAUAGAUUGCUGGUUCUUUUACUGCUGUUUUACUUGAAAACAAUAACUUUUAUGUAGUUUGUUGUCAAGUCAGACCGAAGUUUUUAAAAGUGUUUCUGCAUUUGCAAAGCAGGUUUCUCAUCUAAAGCAUCAAACUCAUUUUCUACACAAAGUUCCAGUAAAGGUAAUAUGUACUAUUUAGAAAGUGGAUGUCACAUAAAUAUCGUAGUUAGGUGCAGAAUUUUUCUUUUCGUUAAAAGUAUAAAUUUUUAAACUACUUGAUGUUGCAGGUUGGGCUCCUUGAAAUAAACUCGGUGAAUUGUAGAUCUAAAGUUACUAUUCCUAGAGAACCUAAUCUGGAAACAGCACAUAGGGCUCAAAAACAUAGGUAAUAUUCACUUCCUCUCCUUUUUAUGUUGACAUUUGUUGUCAUACAUCUGUAAGGUUACCAGGCUUUGCCUCUUGUGCAAUUGUUUAUGUCGUAUUUUCUGGAUUUCAGGGCUAAGGCUAAGGUUGAUGCAGAGUCAGAUGAACAUGCAAAAUCAAAUGCAUGCAACUUUAAAGCACGCCCAUUGAACAGAAAAGUACAUACUUUCAAUAAAUAAGAUCCAAGUUUUAUUGAAUUUCAUAGGAACCAUGAACUUCAAAAGAAAUUGCCCUUAUAUUUAAGUUAGUAUAUGUUAUCUUUUUCAAUAACUUUUUCGGGCUUGGCAGAUUCUUGAAGCUCCUUUACCACAUCCCCCCAAAAAGAGCACGCCACAGCCUACUGAGUUUCAAGUAAUUCUUAACAUGUUUGAAUCUUCUUGUUCAUCUUGUGAUAUGAGCAUUUUCUUGGACGGAUUUAGUGAGAUAAGCUUGCUGCAUAUCUUAGGUUUAACACAAAUUGCCUUCACUGCUGUGCAGGAGUUUCAACUGCGAACAUCCGAGAGGGCUAGACAACACGCAUGUAAUAAUGUAGGUUAUGAAAAGUUUACUUUACAGAUUGUCAUAUUGUUAAUAUCAUGCACAGUUUUAGUAAUAAACAUUGCAAUUUCUUACUUGUGCCCAUGCUAAUAUAAUAGUAGGAAUAGAAUGUGCCUUGAUGGUGGAAAGCUAAUGCUCUCCUCAUUGCAGGUGGCAACCAUGCAUAACCACAAUGCUAUCUCCCAAAAUGAAACUAAAGACUCCAGAAGGUAAUGAUGUCUUGAGUUUUUCUCAUACCAUCGAAGUUAAACAUUGAAAGAUUCCUUUUUACCAAUUAAUACUCUCAUGUUGCUAGAGCAUUCUGCAUUGCUCAUGGUUUUUAGCUUGAUCUUACUUGGUAUAUUGGUCUAGGACUUUUAACUUCCUUUUGCUCAUGUGAUAUGCAAUCGCACAAUUGUUUUUUAACUUCUCCAUCUUUAUCAGGACAUUAAAUUUUCAUUUUAUCUUUUUCACAAAUGCAAGGGGGGAGCCUCAACUUUCAUAUAUUUUAAGUAGUUUUCAUCAUUACCAUUUCUUGUAAUCUUUGAUAUACUGACCUAUAAUUAAUGAAUUUACAUUCUGUUGAAUAUGAUUACUUUCUAACGUGGUUAUUCUCGUUGAACAGGCCAAACUCUGUUGAUGCCCUAAAGGAGGAGAAAUGUGAAGGAGUUAAAAAAAUUAAAGCAAACCCUCUCAAUAAGAAGGUGCUGUUAAUAUUAUGUUUGGACCUUAUAAUUGAGAUUGUUUUUGCACAGAUUCUCAGUGUGUGGCCACAUUAUUUCCUUGACACAGAUUUCUUCUGGUAAAGGAGAUCCCGGCGUCUUUCGAAAUAUCAGACAAGAUACUGCUGCCUCAAUGGUAGUUUACAAUGGUUCCUUUAUUCUCAGUUUGGAUAUGUUACUCAUUGCCUUGCAGGAAAAUUUUUCUCUGUUAACCCAUGCUUGUAUUUCCUGCCAGGAUAACAAUUUUCCAAUGAAUAAGGGGUCUUUGAAUGAGCCACCAAUUGACCUAUUUAGAAAGGUAAGAUGCGAUCUAGUUCUUCUGUACUUGUUGGUAAUGAGUCUAAAAUUGGAGCUCACCGGUGAUUUCUCAUUUUCUUACUUAAGUUUGGAUAUAUUUUUCACAAUCCUCUUCAUGACUUGGUAUGCAGCUCUCCUUGGCAUCUGAAGUCCAUAACAACUUAAAAUCUCAGUCAAAAAUGCCUUUGGUUUCUAAGGUUAGUGUAAACGAUAAUUUUAGCUUUGAAUCUUUUAAUGAAAGUUUGUAUCUUUUUUUUUUAAUUAAUAUACUAGUGCUUUCAUUGAUUGAAUAAGGAAUCAAAAGAGAAUGCACCACAAUCAUUCCUUCUUGAACAUGAGGUAUACUACUAUGUUCCAUAUAUCUAUUGAUAUAAUAUGUAAAACAAUUCCUAGUCAAUUACUGCAAAAACUUGCAUCCUAAAUAAAUCUAGUAUUAUGGUUCAGGUUUUGAUUUGUUGUUAGUCCUCUUACCACGAUAAUCGCAGUCUCAUAACAUCCAAUUUUGCAGAUGAAGGUGUUCAAAGAGAAAUCUCAGAAGUUUGGUAGGAAUCAGUAUCAGUGUGGGAGUGAAUCAAGUGAAAGUAGGAUUACCGAAGGUGGAUCACGGUUCAACUUCAACAGGUAUCACUAUUUCUGAAUUUAUUUGAUGCGAAAUGCCAACUGAUCCUUUUCUCCAAAUUCUGACUUUUCUUUUAGCUUUAGAACUUGACUAAGAAAAUUAUCAGGUACAACAAUUUUUAUAUUUAUACUGCAAUAAGCUGCUGAUUCCAUCUCCACAAUUUCCUGUUAAAAGUUAAAACUUCGACACAAUAUAUUUGUAUACAUUUCAUUGAGACAGAAUAUUUUCGAUGAUUCUUGUCACAGGAAUUUGGAUAUACGCUGAGAACAGAGCCGAAAAGCUUUCAUUUUUUGAAAUGAGACAAGUUUUUCGAAUGAAGCUAGUCUUAAAUCUACAAUCUAAUGCGAAAAGAAAAUUUUGUUUUAUAUCAAUAAUGUAAAGGAAAUAAAAAAAAUUUUGGAGAGCAGCAAUGUACAUAAGUAUAAAUUAUAGUUGGCAUGUUUCUUCUGUUUCUUGUAUAUACCAGGGAAAUUGUAUUUGUGGUUCAGGUUAAGCGAAAAGUGUUGAUUCAGUUUUUACCUUCUUGUUCUUUGUUGAAGGAUUUCAUUUUAUGUCUGAUGGUUCCUGUUUCAGCGAUCUGUUUCUACAAUUCUCACACGUGUCACGUUUCCAUGUGAGGUUACACAAUGUUGUUGGCACAAUAUCAUUUUGCAUCAAAACGUCGUAUAAGUUGGUGACCGUAAUAAUGGAGGAAAAUAAAAAGGAAAGUGAAAAGCGACUAGUAUGGUAGAGAUUGAGUAUUUUUUUUUUUUAAAUAUAUAAGGAGGUGGAGAUAAAUGAAUCUCAUCAUUUUAUGGUAAAAAAAAUGUAACUUUUCUCCUUAAAAUUGGAGUAGUUGGCAUAUGCUCCACAUAUACUAAUUGCAAAAGCAUUUUCAAAUUAUUAUUUAAUAAGUUCACACCAGACAUAAAACAAUCCAAGAAAGCUAUUUUACCAUUUUGAGGGGUUUUUAGUUCGGUUCCGUACGCAAAAAUAAACCAAACCAAAAUCGUUUUGGUUUGCUCUCGUUUUUCAUUCAAUUGAUUAAAUAGAUCGAUUUUUUUUUUUCUUAAUUUGAAAAGCAAACUGAGCUAUUAGUUCGGCUUAAUAUUUGGGGGGGGUCGUUGUUUUUUGGCCCAGUCCUAGCCAUGAGGGUAAACAUUUUUUAGGUAAAGCUUAUAUAAAGAUUAAAAAUAGGUAAAAAAAAAUUAGUUAGAUUAUGAGGGUUCACUUAAUCUGAUAGUCAUUUAUUUAAGAAUUUGCUUUCUCAAAUCUAGAUUUUUAAAUGAAAAUUUCAUGUGGAUUUGUUGCUGCACUGUAUGAUGUUAUAGUAUUUUGGUUCGAUUAACUAUUAUAUUAUACGGUGUAAUAAUAAAUUCAUAUGAAAUUUGCAUUUAAGCAUCGAGACCUAAGAAAUUAUACAUAGAGAGAGAGAGAGAGAGAGAAUUUCUAAUAAGGAUAAUAAGAUAUCCUUAUUUUAAUAAAAAAAAUUGCUACUAAAAUACAAAAAAUAAUAUAGUAACUAAUGUAUUGAAAUUUAGUUUUCUUGUAUUUUUGUGGUAUUCUCGUUUUAUUAAAAUGAGGAUGUUUUCAUUAAAUAAUAAUAAUAAUAUAGUCAUUUUUUUAGCACGAGUGCUUGUAUUAUUUAAGAUUUGGGAUUUCACAGCUGUGUCAAAUAUUUUUAUACUAUUGUAAAAUAAUUUUUGAUGCUAUUGUAAAAUCUCAAAUCCGUAUUAUAAAUAUGCAUUGUUAUAUACUACAAUGCGAGCGUGUGUAUUUCUUGUGUUUUAAUAAUAUAUCUUCUUACUAUAACGACUUAAGGGAUUGUGUGUGUAUAAUUUUCUUAUUGGCAAUUCGAAUAGCAAAACCGAUCAGUUUUUGAAUUAAAAAAAUAUAAAUGCCCAAAUCUCUGCCAUUGUCCAAAAGAAACCCAAGCUCCUAGCUAGCCUGCCACCAAUCGUCAUCGGUCAUCGCUCAACUCCAUCGCGCGCCAGUAGCAUCAAUAGCGCCGCCCCAUUUUUGCAUAUUAAUAACACCUGUGGUUGAAUAAAUUUUCCAAACCAUGGAUUCGAACACAACAAGCUUGACUUGGACGACCAAAAUAGCAAUGUAGUUGCCUUCUUUAAAGUUUUGGCGGAAAAACAGAUGACAUGUCGUAUAUUACAAAAUAACCAGAUGACAUUUUGUAAAAAAAAAUGCAUGCGCCGGCGGCAUCCUGUACGACAUGUCGUAUCUGUAUAAAAAAAUUUUAACUUGUUUGGAAAUCAAAAUUUCAAUUGAAUAUGCUAGAAGACAAUAUAAUAUUGGGAAAAUUUCAAAUCAUUUCAUAUAAGUCAAGAAAUUAAAUAUAUAUUUACACACGUUAAUCAGUAGCAUAUGUGGUGGAACCACAAAUACUACACACAGGUAGGCGGCUGAAUAAAUUAAUAGCAAGUGAGUUUACAUAUGUUUAUUUGUUGCGUUUGUUAAGAUCUGAGUACUUAAAAUAUUACUACGAAGCACACAAUUCUAAUAUUUGAAAUUAGCCCUUUCAUCAGUGAGAUAAAUGAAGAGAUGAUGGACAAAUUGAAAUUUGUAAAGCUAACAUAUUCUGUCCAUAAAUUCAUGGUAACAUAAUUCACCUCACUAAAAACUUAAACGUAAUAUCCGAAUACGAGUUAGUAAUGCUAGAGAACUUGGCCUGUAACCCACAAGCAUUCAUAAGCAACCAUUCAACAAAAGAUUUUUAGUACUUCAAACUAAAUUCCUAAGCUAGUCAGUCCAGAAUGUACAAAAAUUAGUGAUAAGCACAAUUAUACAUCUUCUCUCUUCAAGGAACAACAUCAGAGACUAAUUUUAUCCUUCAAGUUCCUGGCUGUUAAUUCAAAACACAAAAGGAGACUAGCAAUUUAAAGGGUGUUCUUAGAUAUAACUUCUCCAAACCUAACAAACCACCGAGCAUCAGACGAAUUGUCGUCGUGCUCAACACGCUGCUGCCGUUCUCUGUUGACCACAAAUUUGGUGUAAUAGUCGAUUGGUUUUGGAGCGGCCAGAGAAAGUUUUGCGGGUGGAGCUGGAAGAAGGGAAACCAGAACUCUGGCUACUUCCUGCAUGGUUGGUCUUUCUGAAGGGUAGCGCUUUGUGCAGAGCAGAGCAAGCUGGAAGGUCUUUCUCACAGCGCUUAAAUCCACGCAUGUCACUGAAACCUCUGGGUCAACAGCCUCCAUCACUGUGUUGUCAUCAGCCUUGGACAUUAUCUGAAAACACAAAAUACACAUGCAGACCGUUCAACUCAAGAGUUAAGUUGCUUAAUAGCAUACUUAAUGUAAAACAAAUGCUUAAAUUUAGUGACAGUUUAAUGUCCCACACAGCAACCCAGGAUUUUCCACUUUGACAACAUAUUUUAACUCACAGGAUCAAUGAAAAUUAGACCUUAUAAUUCAGGGCAUUAGAUGCAUACCAGUUGAUGCAAGUUAGACUCGUUAUCCACAGCCUUCUUCCCAGUCAGAAUUUCAAGAAGUACAAUACCAAAGCUAUAAACAUCUGAUUUUUCAUUGAGACGAGAGGUAUGGGCAUACUCAGGAUCAAUGUAACCAAUUGUUCCUAGAACAAAAGUUGAGGCAUGAGGCAUUGCAGUCGGUAUGCAUCUUGCAAUCCCAAAGUCAGAGAGAUGAGCGUCAAAAUUCUCAUCUAUCAGGAUAUUUGAUGAUUUUACAUCCCUGUGAAUGAUCCGGGGGUUGCAAUCAUGAUGAAGAUAAGCAAGUCCUUGUGCAGCUCCAACUGCAAUCUUCAGGCGAGUUUCCCAGUCAAGUUUUACUUUCUUGGAUGGUCCUGUAAUGCAACACUUGUCUUCUUCAGAAACAAAAAAAAAUAUAUAUAUAUAUAUAAAUACACAUAUAUAGUAAGAUAAAUAAUUCCCCAAGUAAAUAUUCAAUAUAGGAAAAAUGAGCAUAUCAUCAACUUUCAUCUAGUAAUAACAACUAUAUGGUACAGGCAAGAUAACUGACCAUGAAGGAGAUCCCACAGAGAACCAUUCACCAUGUAGUCAUAGAACAGGAGAUUUCCAUAUGGAGACAAAGCAUAACCAUGCAAGCUCACAAUAUUUCUGUGUCUAAUGCUGCCAAUGGUUUCAAGUUCAGUCUCAAACUCUCUCAAGUUGUGAGGAUACUGAUUGUAAAGUUUCUUAACUGCUAUUGGUCGGGAAUUCUUCAGUGCACAUUUGUAAACAGUACUAGAUGCACCAUAGCCAACGAUAUACUUCUCACUCAAAUUCUCAGUGCUUCUCAUUAUAUCAUCAAAGGUGUGAAUAGCCAUAUCCAUGUGCAGAAUCACAAGCUUGGGUGGUCCUGGGUAGAAAGGAAACCAACCUUGAAGAUUUGAAGAUACAAAUGUUGCAAGUAAAUACUAAAGCAAAGACAUACCUAGCAUAGAUUUUCUGGAACCAGUAAUUAAUUGCUGCCUUUGUUGGUUGGAUUUAUACACAGCAAUUGCAGCCAUCACUAACAAUGUAAUGAAGCCUAACACCAUACAAACAACAGCAGUUCGGGAGAACAUAACUGGAAAACAAGAUAGCUCAUUGGGUAAGCAGAGAGUUCUAAAUUUGAUCCUGCCAAUGAUCGUAUACACAAAACAUGGAUCUAUCAUAAAAUAACAAAAGAUUACAGAAAGAUUAAGUUAAUACCUCUGGCCUUUGUCACCGAAGGACCACAUAUUGAUCCUAUCCAAUUUCCACACAGUAGUGGAUUUCCAAUGAAGCUGGUGCAAAUAUGAAUAAUCAAUACAAAAAUCAAAAUUCCAAAAGCUAUGAACUAAUGUUUUUGCAUACCUAUUUGAUGAAAAUCGUGAGAAGUUUCUGAUUGGGGGUAUAAUCCCUGAUAAGUUGUUGUACGACACAUUCCUGAAAUUCAUUAAAUUUAGUAGUUUGCAAGACUUCAUAACAAACAAGAAUUUCUUUCAUAGAAAGGGUAAUGUCUUACAAAUUAGAUAGACUGAAACAAUUGCUAAGCUGAUCUGGGAUCCCACCUUGCAAAUUGUUGUUGUUCAAAAUCCUGACAUAAAUUUUCAUCUCACAUUUUAUAUCUGCUUGAUAAAUAAAUACACAACAAAAGUACUGCUUCAACCACAUGGGAAAAAGACCAUGAACUUACAGAGAAAUGAUAUUUUGCAGUUGACCCAGUUCUGCAGGAAUGCUACCAGACAGUUGGUUGAAUGACAUGUCACUAAAAAACAGAAGAGAAGAAAGAUUAAAAAAACAGAGGUUACUCCAUUCCAUACAGCUGUAGAUUUAUCAAAGUAAAUUAGCUCACAUUGUUUGUAUGCUUCUAAGGUUUCCGAAUUUUGCAGGCAACAGCCCAUUCAGAUGAUUCCUGCUCAAAUUUCUGGGCAAGUGGAAACUAUAUUAACUGAUGCACUAAUGUAAAUCAAACAGAAUGAACCCACAUUGAACCAUGCUUGGGUUGAAGGAUUACAAAGUGAGAAGGUGCUCCAGAUCACCAAUUGAAGCAGGAACAGAUCCAGAAAAAUUAUUAACUGAGAGAUCCCUGAAUCAUAGAACAAACAUAAGCACCUAAAACUGGAAAAUAACAAUAGACAAAACACAUCAUGGCAUGAAACUCACAGCGUGUCAAGAUUAAUAAUUCGUCCAAGCUCAGUGGGUACCUUGCCUUUGAAGUUGUUCCUUGAAAGGUUUCUGAACAUCAACUAUAUUAGUAUAGGAAAACAGGCAUCCAUGCAAUAGAUAUUGUAACUUAAAAGAAUUCUCUAAACUGAAUGAUCAAAACGUACAAGUAAGUCAGACUCCCCAGAUUCCGGAAACUAGAUGGGAUAGCCCCGCUUAAGCGAUUACCAUGCACAUUGCUGUGAAAUAAAAUCAAGAAUCACAAUCAAAUUAACUGAAAUGAGACGCAACAUUAUUACAAACACACACAAGGGAUUCAGUUGUAUUCAGAAAAUUGGUAUCUUACAACUGAUUCAAUGCUGUACAGGAACUGAUAUUAUGCGGAAUGGGUCCUUCCAGAUUAUUAUCUGCAAGAUUCCUGAAUCAUAAAGGACAAACUGAUAAGUAACAUGAAAUGAAAAAUAAUACUACACAGACAUAACAGCAGAGACUCACAAUUCAAACAACUGCUCUAGCUUCCCAAGUUCUGCAGGAAUUGUUCCAACAAGUUGAUUAUUUUGUAAUUGCCUACGUGAAAGUAAUUAUCUUAUCAACAGCAUGAACCGUGCAUAUGUAUACUAAGUUUUGGGAAAUGGAAAAUAGCUCACAAGUAGCUCAGUUUAGACAUAUUGCCAAGCUCUGGGGGAAUUGGUCCAGUCAGCUUAUUGCCAUGGAGAUAUCUGGCACAGAAGAAAAUUUAAAAAACAAAAAAGAAUCAAGACAUAAAACAUAUUAAAGAACAAUAAUAUUAUCGUUUGAUGUAAUCAAACUAACAGUUUUCCAGUGUAUGACAAAUUGCCAAGUAUGGGAGGGAUUGGUCCAACAAGCUCAUUCUCACUUAAAUCCCUGAAAAGUAAAAGAAACAUAAACACAAAAGUCAAGACACGUGCUAUAAAUGUAUCUAAAGUCCAUAGAGUCUGGGCGACAAAGAACGCAUGUACUUACAACACGGCUAGAGCCUGCAUAAGGCCAAUGACCUCUGGAAUUUUACCCGUUAGCUUAUUUCCUUGAAGUGAUCUACAAAACAUCAGGUGUCAAUUACAAAAAACAUAUGAUAAUUGUAAAAGUUUCAUAUGUAAAGCUCUAUGUUUAAUAAGAAAAAUAAAUUGAAGUGGAAAAGCUCACAGUGUUGCCACUUGAAGGAAUCCAAUAUUGUAUGGUAUCUCUCCAGUGAUCUGAUUGUAAGAUAUGUCCCUGAAGUUCCCCACGAUCAGAAAGUUGAUUAACACAGAAAAAUGUAAGUACAAAAUUCAGUGCAGUGUACAGUAGUUGACAUACAAUAUUUCAAAGCUUGUACAGUUGCCAAUGCUGUCCGGGAUUGUUCCAGUUAGAUUAUUGCCUCGUACAUCACUAAAAUCAAUAAAAACAACUAAUAUCAUAAGUAAUUAUAUCUGUUGAAUGGAAAAACCCAAUUUUUAUAUACAUUGAAUGGAAAAAAGCAAUUUUUGCACCCCAAAAAAAAAAAAACUGACUACUCACAAAUACCACAAGCCGGUUAAUUGACACAUGUCAGGAGACAGCAUUCCAGUCAAUGCAUUUCCCCUUAGCCCACUGUAAACACAACCCCAAACACAAAAUGUGAAAUCCUAUGCUUCAAGAAAAUGUGUAAACCUAAAUGUCAGUAGGCAAAAACUUAAAAAUGUAUGAACUCUCAAUGGCUCCGUUGAAACUUCCAUAUAACUAUAGUAAAUUGUAACAGGAGGGAACACAAUGUUCAAAUGCCUAACAGACUACUAUAUCUUUAUAACUUACAGGUAUUGCAGCACUUCAUUCCAGUAUAUUAGCCUUGGAAUCUCACCAGUGAGCUGGUUUCGAGCAAGAUCACUACAAAUAUAAACAUUCAAAUGCAAUUGAAAUUAUUAAAAACGAUAAAUAUCUCAAAAGAAGUAACAUCAUAUCUGAUAUCACGACUAAAUUGGUAAAUCAGGCAUCUCAUCAGUUAAGUGGAAACUCACAGAGUCUUCAGAUUAGGAAUCUGAGUUAAGGUGGAUGGAAUUGGACCGGUAAGCUGAUUGUUUUUCAAAUUCCUGCAUUGCGUUAAUGGAUAUGCACUCAUUAAUUUACCAUGUAACUCCAACAUGUACAUAUUGAAACAAGUCAAAUGAUCAGAGACAUUAUAUAACAAAAAUAGCGCUUACAAGAACUCAAGUUGCUUCAGCUUUGAUAUAGAAAAGGGAAUGUCUCCAUAUAGACUAUUGUCAGACAAUUCUCUGCAUUAUGCAAAAGGAGAUCCCAUUAUGAAUCAAAAUUCUCAUAAACACUAAUAUGCACAUUAACAAGAAGGAAAAAUAGAUUUAAAAAAUUUUACAUAUGGACAAGAGAGCCACAGUUUCCAAUUUCAUCUGGGAUCUGGCCAGUUAACUUAUUCCCCUGAAAAUCUCUGCCAACAUCGCAAAAAUUAAAAAAAAAAAAAAUCAAUUACGACUACAUUGGGAACAUAAUAAAAGGGUUUGGUAAGAAAAUAAAAGGGCGCAUACAUGGACUGCAAAUUUCUUAAAUCUCCAAUGGAUGGCGAAAUCUCUCCACCCAGAUUCAAGCUUGACAGGUUCCUACAAGUAACCAGUACCCCAUUCAUUGCAUUGCACUUCAUUGCAUUUUAUAAAAAAAAAAAAAGUAACUUAAAACAGAACAAAACAUACAAAGAAACAACAGAGAGGCUGCUGUUAUCGCAAAAGACACCACGCCAUGAACAGAAAUCAGAGUUGUGCACAUCGUCCCAGUCCAGCAACACAUUCGCCAGGUUACUGAAUGACGCUUUAAUCGCCAUCAACGCUUUCCCUACAACAACCCCAGGAUUAUUUUAAUAUUCUCCAAACACCUAAAUAUCUCCUUUUAUCUUAUUAACACAAGAAGCACUCAAAACAACAAAAACGAACUUCAGUUCCUUUUAACAAAAGACGCUUCAUGCAUUUGAAUAAUGCUAAAAACAAACAAAACCUUCAUCAUCAUUGAGUGGAGCGGCGGAUGAACAAAGAAGCAAAAACACCGCCAUUAUGAAACUAAAAGAAAGCUUUCUCUUCUCUCUUUGUAAGAGAACUCCCAUUUUCAUUUUUUUCCCCCUAAAGAAAGCUCAAAACAUGGAGAGACCUUUUUUUUUUUUUGCACGAGUUAUGAGUUACGUUCAAGUAGAAAAAUAACUCUUCUUCUUAAGUUUGGUUUGCUGCUAGCCUGCUACUUGUUUCAUUGAGAGGGGGAAGAGAGAGAGAGAGAAAGAAGAGAGGAGGGAGAGUAAAGGAACAGGCGUUUAGCGUGAGGUGCAAGGUAGACUGAGCAAUAGCUGUUAUGAAGAGAGAGGGAGUGACAGUAACUGGGAGAGAGAGAGAAGCAACUAAGCAAGAGACAACUGACACGGGAGGAGAUAUUACUCUAAACGGCGGUGAAGCGACGUUAGUAGCUGACCUUAUUUUUUUAGGCUUUUUGGGGGGAGUCUUUUAGGCCUUUUUGACUGAUUGAUUGAAUCAUUCAUUUUCAUUUUUUAAAGGUUUUGGGCUCAGCGGCCGUCAUUCCGAUCAUGCAUAUGUAUGUAGUACCGUGUCCCAAUGUUGUUUCAUUUUCGGACAGCUCUCGUUAGGCGUCUUUGUGAACCGAAGAGUUCUCCACGACGCGCGCCAAUUCGAUGCACGUGUCUCGUGGAAAUACCAGAACGGUUCGGCACUGUCGAAAAUGGACAAUCCAUUUUUUCUAAUAAAAUGAGUGCCAUUUUAUUAAUAAUAUUAUUAUAUUUACGUAAUUGAAAUAUUUAAUUUAUAUUUUAAUAGAUGUAAUAAAUAAUGUACUAUUAUUUGAUUAGUUUGAAUAAUAGAUAAUUAUUAAGUUUUAUUAUUUUUAAUUAAAUAAUAAUAUUUAUUAAUAGCGCAAUUAUUAUAAUACUAAUUAGAUAUCUCAACUGAGAGUUGUGUUUAAUUAACGUUGCAGAUGAGACAUUAGUUUUUUUUAUGAAGAUUAUGAUAUUUUAUAACAUUUAUACUAAAAGAAUUUUAAAUUUCUAUAAUUUAAGACUUUAUUUAGUAUUUUUACAUACUAAUAAAUAUUAUUUUCUAAGUAUAUAAUUUAAAUUAAUUACAAAAAAAAUUAAUGCAGUAUAGUGCAAUAUCAACAUAAUAUAAUAAAAAAUUAAUAUCAUACAAUAUAAUACUAAAUAUUAUAUAACUUUAUUAUAAUAUAGUGUUAAUACAAUAUAAUAUAACGUGUUAAAAGCAUCUUAAGGCAACUGGGUGGUCAAUAUUUGAGUUAAUUUUUAUGUGUAUUUGGAAUGAUAUACAAUGCUAUGUUGAAUCAAUACAAACCGAAUUCAAUUAAUGACGGCACGACAAUUCCCUCUUUAUUUCAUCGAGGGAGGGUGUGAGUUUGGUUGCACGCGAUGGACGGGCGAGUGGAGUGAGAGAGUUGUCCUUCGAUUGUGAAUUUGUGAUCGGGGAACAACAACGGUCUGUUUGGUUGAUCCGGUGGUUGUCAAAAGACCAAAAAGCUAAUUCCACGCUACUUUUUUUGCUAUGGGCAAAUCUUUUCUGAGAACUUUUUUUUUUUUUUCUUUAAUUUUUUGUCUCCAAUAACUUAUGGUUUUUGUGAAGCUCUUAAUAUCUGUUCUAUUAUUGACAAAGGAACAACUGAAAGUGCAAGGACCAAACUUUUCUCACACGAAAGACCAAAACUCGGCAACCAUCCGGUUAGAGUUUUAAUGGAGAUGGACAAUGCAUUAGGUUUCCGCAAUAAAUCGUUACAUUAAAAUUUUUCAAAAAGCAAAAAAGUAAAAAGUUUUAUAGCAUUUAAUCAAAGGUUUUAGUGGAAUAAUUUGUAAGUAAUAUUUGUAUAAAUUCAAGUAAUUUUCUUUAAUUGAUGAUCGAAGUUUAAAUAUUCAGAAAUAUGGGACUACAUCAUUAACUUAGGAAAUUAGCUCGUUUAAAAAAAAAUUAUUACCUUAGUAUUUUUACUUCAUGAAAACACUCUAGUUUUCGAUAAUUUUUGGAUAUAAAGUAAAGGGGCCGAGAUCAAUCAAAAGAUAAAAUAAAUAAAUUGUCUUUAAAAAAAAAAUUUAAAUUGAAGGGUCCCCUCAGCAUUAAGUUUGGUCAAUAAUUUCUCGCACUAAUUUUCAAUAAUUAAAUACACCACAACAAUAAUACAAACUCUAAGAAGCCUCUAAAAUUAGCUAAGGCACGUCACGUGAUACAUGCUAGCACACGACAAACAUCUUAAAUAGCACUGCAUUUCUAAAUAAUAAAAUAAUUAUUACGAUAUAAUAAUAAUAAUAAUUAAUAAAUAGAAAGUGUUUGGAAGAGCAGACCAGAAAUCAGAAGCAGCAAUUCUGCUUCUGCUUCUGCUUCCGCUGCAACAAUCGUAUAAAGCUGUCCGUGCAUGCUCUGCUUCUAUUUUUGUUCCAUUUACUUGUUUUUUUCUUUACCAUUUUUAAUAAUUAUAAUUAAUAAAACUUGAGCUUCCUUUAAAUUUUUAUAUUGAUAAUUAUUUACGGGUUUAUUGAAUGAAUUACGAUAGCGAGUGAUCGGGAUUGGGACCCACUGAACGCUUUUUUGGUUCAAAUAUCGAGAUAAAUCCCCAGCCGUCAGAUUUCUGAUCUUGGAUUUUGUCGGUUCCCAAAGACAAAACAACAGGCAAUUGUCCGUUGAGUUGGAUAAGAUAACUUCUGACGAACGUGUGUGUAUUUACUCAAAUACCCUCACCUUUUGUGGUGGGAUAAAUUGGGCCGGCGACCCUAAAAAAUUAUCAGACAGAUUUUUUUUUAUUUUUUUUUAUUUUAUUUUUUUAAAGUAUAUUAUACACAGAUAUUACUGACAUUACAUCAAACAUUACAAUUAAUAUUUACAAUCAUACUAUAUAACUGGGACCACCAUUAUACAUUGACACACUAAAAUAUAUGUCCAGAUAUUUUAAACCCUCUCUAAUAUUCAAGGGGUAUCUGCUCCACUCACAUUUCGUAAAGGAAAGACUGUCUCCAUUUAAUUAAUUAAUAAUUAAGGAAGAACUAAAACUAACCUCCAUAAUACUCUUAUGAAAGCUCGAACCCUUGCACUCAACAUUGAUUCAAGAAUCAAUCUUUCCACGCAGUAAAUGUAAAGGCGGCAAAUCCUAAAUGGAUCCUUGGGCUGAUACUAACCCGACCGGAUCUUUUGAUUCACAUAUGGAUUCUUUAAACUGCUUCACGUUCAUCUUAAUUUUGUACCACGUCUUACAUUUAAUUGUUUAUUGCUCUUUAUGAGGAAGAGGUGAUGGUAAAUUCAGCUUUGUGGCACUAGACGUUUAAUAGGUCAAGUUGCAUUUUCUUUUUUUAAGUUUAUUUAGAUUUUAUUUAAAAGAAUUUCAUUAAUUAUUUUAUAAAUAUUAAUUACUGUAAUUAAAUUAAUUUUAUUUUAUCAACACAUGAAAAAAUUAUUAUAUACUAUUAAUUUUUAUUUAUUACUGCUGUACCGUACAUCCGCCUUGGCCGUACAGCAGAUUUUUUUUAUAGUAAUCAUAACGCAAGAGUAUCUCUAAAAAAAUUUUUAAAUAAAAUUUUAUUAUUUAUUUAAAAAAUCACAUCAGUAUUUGAAACUUCAAAAGACGUUCCAAUUGAAAUUUGUUCAAAUAAGAAAUUAUUCUUUCUCUUCAAUUAAUGCAGUUUUCAUUCUUCUUAAAAAUUAUUUAUUUGUAUAAAAUAAUAUUAACUUAUUUUUAUUUGAAGAAUUUUUUAAAGAAUAAUAUAUUUUUUCACUCAUCUUUUUAUUAAAUAUAUAAGUAAAUAGAUAUUUAUAGAGUAAAAUUAGUAGAACAUUUUGAAUAUAUUUUAAGUUACAACAUCUCAUUAAAUCUCAAUAAAAUUAAAUCUAUACGUAACAUAUAUAAAAAAAAAAACUUCUUUAUCAUGAAAUCCCUAUGACAAAAAGGGGAAAUUAUUUCACCACUAGAAUCUAGGGAUCGUACAAAAAUUUUGAGAAUUUUUUUAGAUAAUGACUUCUUAAUUAAUAGAGAUGAAGACAUCUUUCAAAUAAUAAUAACAAAAAAUAAAAAUAAAAAUUUCCAUAACACAAGCAAAACAGUUGAGAUGUUAAAUAGAAGGGAUCCCAGAUGUAAAACGGUUCGUUGGAGAGAAUAAACGAAAACGAUUGUAAGUAGAAACCAAACCACCGUGAGUUUUGUUUUUCACUAAUAAUUUUUCUACGAUGAACGAAAAAUUAAAUUUUGACUAAAUCAAGCUCCUAAAACAAAUCCCUUUUAAAAAAACACAUUACGAAAAUUAAUUAAAUAAAUAAAUAAAACACUGAUGAUGAUAGCACGUUCCCAAAACGAAACCCACAAUAAAAUCCUUUCGGUGAUUUAGGCAGCCGAGGCAGGAACCAGACGACCAUCGCAUCAAGAACCCAUAACCCACGUGGCAAGAUCUGACGGGGCCUAUUAGUACUGGUAGCUACUACUAGGCCUCAAGACAGUGACAGGCAGACUCGUUUGGGACAGCAUUGUCCAACAAUAAAGCAAUAGGCAGCCGGCUGUUUAUCCGCCGGUUGACGCCGUCAGCAUUACUACGGCGUGAUCCUAUACGGGUCCCAUGCCCCUCUAGGACCCAACGGUGGGUCCCACCUAAGAAGACAACGCAUUUAGUGUUGGGUUUUUCAAAAAGUUGGGAUUGAUGCGAUGAGAUUUUGCUUUUUAGAGAGAGAGAGGGAGAGAGUACUGGAAAUAGUAUUAGUAGUGCUUUUUGAUUUGAAAUAUUAAAAAAAAAAAAAAGGACAGAUAUAAUUUUGUAAUAUUUUAUAAUUGUAUUAUAAAUUAAAUGGGUCUGGACGCUGGUUGGUUUGUAAUGAUUGAGUGGGUCAUGGUCUCAUUUUUUUUUUUAAUUUCUAAAACGUUUGCCACGUGGUGUAUACGGUUUGUGUUUGAGUGUCUUCAGUCUUCUUAGUUAUUUUCAGCUCAAUGCCACAAACUCCCCGGGGAGAUGCCAUGCUGGCAAUUAGAGCCGGCAGAAUAGAUUAUCGAGUCGUAUUUGUAUCGUAUCAGUUUUAUAUCGUGUCAAAUUUAGGUCGAUUUAAAUCCGACUCAUUUAAUAAUUGUGUCAGAAUAUUGAGACCUAAAUUCGACACAAAAAAAUAAUUGAGUUAUCCAAUAACCCGCUUAAUAUCUAUAUAUUGAACAAAAAUUACAUCAAAUAUUUACACACUAUCAUACAUACAUAUAUAUAUACAUACAUACAUAAUUUAUCGACAUUACAAAUAUACAUAUCUACCAAUAUAUUACACAUUUAUAAUUUUGAAGUUUUAAUUAUAUAUAUAUGAUAUUAUGUAUCAAUAUUAUAAAAUAUACAUGUCUAUCAAUUUUUACACAUUUACACUAUUGAAGCUCUAAAUAUAUUUAAAAUUUUAUAAAUAAAACACCAGCUGUGUUUAUAUUCACCUUUUAAAGAAUAAAAAAAAGAAAAUCAUUUCUAAUAUUUGAGUUUUAAUGAUUAAAAUAUGUAAAUUAUUUUAAAAUAAAAAUAUAAUCGGGUCAUUGAUCGGGUAAAUAUGUCAAGAAUUUUAACCUUAACCCGAUACGAAAAAAAAUCGUGUUGACCCAAAUCUGAUCCAUUUAAUAAUCGUGUUAAAUUUGACGACCCAUACCCAUUUAUUUAUGUCGUGUUCGUGUCGGAUAAUCAGGUCGUGUUAAAUUUUACCAGCUGGCAAUAGUAUUGCUUAAUGGUGCCUAAAUUAUCAAAAAUGGUACAAACUAAAAUUGCGAAAUAUGGUAUAGCUAGGAAAUUUUAAAAAAUAAAAGUGAAAAUCUUAAUGCCCCGUGAACGAGAAUAUAAAAUAUUAAAUUGCCAACCGGCUUUAUAUUUUUGUGUCUGUACAUUCGGGUACUAAUUAUGCGUACCCAAAAUAAUCUCGAAAAAUAUUUUAAAAAAUGCUUAUGAAGUAGAAUUUGCGAGUACUUAGAACAAUAUUAAAAUCAACAACCACUCCUUGUACUGUAUAAAAUAUUAAGAAAUUAUAUCAGGAUUUUAUAAUGUAAGGGGUCAACUAAACUAGUCAAAUACACAUGGUCAAAGAGUCAACAGAAAGAACAGAGACUUGAUACGCGAGCACUGUAGGCUGGACAGAGAACAUGAAUGGAAAAGGGAACAGAAAUCGCGAGACCCAAGAGAAUUAAAGAGCAAUUGAUUAUACACAUCAUAGGACCCGUGAUGGCUAUCCUUUUAUUUUUCUUUUCACUUACAAAUAAAUUGGUUGGGCUUUAUGUGCGACAGACAAAUACUAUGCAUGAUACAUUGAUAUCCACGUCCUUAGUAUUACACGUAUGAUGAGUAAAGAAAAUUCCGGCUUAUAUCCUCACAAGCCCAGGCAUUGUAUCCUUGAAAACACUGUUUAUAUUCCUCUUUACUGUUACUAAACCCAAAUUGUAAUUCUCAAAAAUCUGGACUGGCGAGUCCCGACCUCAAUGAAUUUGAUCCAAAGUUCAUUACAAAAAGCAACUGCCAAAUUUUCUUGCAUAAGAUACUCCAAAGGCAAGAAAAGAGCGGCAAUUUGUUGAAGUAAAAAAAAAAAAAAAAACCAUCAAUCUUGAAGUAAUACUUUGGACAACUUACAAUGGUUGAACCAUUUCCGAAAGUUGAUAGUGAGAAAGGGAACCUACACUCAAGGAGCUUGAGAUGGAGAGUAUUAAUACAAUUCUCUCAGAUUCUAUGAAGCUAUAAAGCCUAAUGGCGUGCCAUGAGUAAGGGAGAAUGGUCGCAGUUAUAUAAACACAAUACAAAAUCCAAACUGAUUCAUCAUGGAAGAUAAUUCAUCCAACGGUUUUAUCCAUUGUAAACUGCAGACGCUAUCAUCAGAAAAAAGAGUUACAAAAAGUGCUAUUAAACAGUUAUUCAAAUAAGAUGAUAACAUAUCAAACAAAAAUUUAGGGUUACAAGAAAACAAACUCCUCACUGCAUCUACUACUCAGGAGUCAGGAUGAUAGAUUAGCAUCAUGCCAUCCCUUGGUGCAUGGUGGAAUGCCCAUGAAUUCAUCAAAUUCCUUCACAUGAAUGUCACAACACUUCCACUGCAAAAAUCAUAUAUCACACACAGAGGUUGGCAUCAAUUCCAAAAGCAAUAAAGAAGAGAUUAGAUAAAAUGAAUGGCAAAACAACACAUUUAGACAAGAAUCGCACCCCUCUCAUCCGAUCAUGAAAAACAGCAGGUCCAGGAUGAUAACUGCAUGCAGUCUCAUGAUUAUCCUUUUCUUUGAAAGUUUUGCCACAUCCCUUAUUUUUGCAGAUUUGAGGCUCGUUAAUACCAAUUUUCUUCUUCACUGGAACAGGAGGCACCUCAGCAGCUACAUUACUUCCAGCAGGUACAGCUGGGGCAUAAUUGGUCUGUUCUUUGGCUUGUGAACCUAUGUAGAACAUGCAAGAAUUCAGUUCAAAGACCAAUGAAGAUGUUAAGGGGAAAAAGGACACACUUCAAACAACAAAGUGCUUCAGCAAGAUAGGAACAAAAGAUAGACACAGAGAAACAAUCUAGCAAAGACAAACCUGCUGGCAUCUCCUAGAACAAUACAAAGAGAACUAGAACAUUCCAAAUGCACUGUUACAAAGAUGAACCUCAGAAAAGUAAAAGCCCCAUGACAAAGCAAAACCUAGUACACAAUACAACUAACCUUUCCCAUUUCUCAAGCACUAGUAAUAUAAAAGGCACAUGAUCCACUAUGGUCUUUGUAUUUACAAAAACCAGAAGAGACGUGGAGGUAGAGAAAUAGCUCUAUUUAGCUUUUUGCUUAACCGUAUACUAUGAUAAACAAAUUGGAAUUAUUCCACAUUCAUUGAAUCCAAAAAGGAAGACAUGAACAAUGCAGAGUCUCUAUAUACAUAAAGCAUAAAAAUUUGGGUACCGUGAUCAGAGCAAAAGAAACCCUGUCGACAUCUUGAGCAAAGUUCUUUCGAUGGAGUGCUGGACCCAAGAGUUGUUGAAGGAGCAGGAGCUGGAGCUGGAGUUUUUGAAGUAGCGACCGGCUUAGUUAACACUGGUUUCUCAGUUGUGUGUUUACCUGUCUUACAUCUUCAUUUAUGGAACAAAAUUUUGAGCAACUAAUGUAAACAGAAACUUUGCAAAAAAUUACUGACUAGAAGUUACUGGUCGUAAUCCAAGUAGACUUACAUCCAGACCACAUGGAAACAAUCAUGGAAGUGCAAUAAAAUUUACAUCCAUAUUUUGCAUAGUUGGCCAAGCUUACCAAGGCCAACAUGUUUUAAACUGUUUUAAGAGCAAUGUACUCAAUUUAGAAAAAUACUGACAGAUCAUUGCUUCUAAAUUAACAGAAAAAUGAUUUGGAAGCAGCUUCAGCUGAAAGGAUGCAAAAUUAAGAGUUAAGAGAAAAUAUAAACACACAAUCACAUCCAACUUAGCAACUUCAGAAAAAAUCCCAAAUUGUAUUUUCAUUGUGAACAACAACAUAAGCAAGAAGCAGAUUGCCUAAAAUCUGAUACACCUGAAAUAUCAAUCCAACAGUAUUAAAUUUUUUAGAAAUGAAAUUUAACCAGUAAGGCAUUUAUAUUUCAUUCAGAGAUGAGCAAAAUCUGAACAGGCAAUGUGAUAAGUGAACAUGUUCAACAACAAAAUUCUGGGUCAUGUACUUCAGCAAUCAAUGCUUAGCUGAAUAUGUAAGUGAUAAAAUUCAUAACUAACAUGUAGUUUUCAAGUACACUGCUAUCAUAGGCACCAUGCGAGGUGAUCAUCACCAGGAGUGGACUGCUCAAAUGCCUGAAUUCUAUGGGUUAUAUAGUCCACUGCUAGCAUAGCCAAGAAAAGUAUCAAUAAUAAAGGAACAAGUUCCACAAGGAAACAUGAUAGGCAGUUACCCUGGAAUUUCCAAAAAUAAGCUGAAAUCAUGACUCCUCCUCUUGCAACAACUCCACUCCUUCAUUCCAUCAUGAAAUAUGGGCUGAAAUUACCAUUGAAAAUUAACAUGCUCAGAAAGUUUAUAAAGAAAAAAAUGAAAAUAGAAUUAUUCUUUUCAAAAGAAACAAAGUCUGACUUACUCCCUGAUCAUUUAUAAUCAAAUCCGAUAAGGUAAAACCGAAGCCCAACGAUGCAAAACAAAAACACAAUCAGUACAACAAACAAAAAUAUAAUCAUAUUUCACAAAUUAUAAAAAGAUUGAAGAAAGCAACACACCACACACCAAAUUGAUUUCACACGAUCAGCAACUUAGUUGUGCUAAACGAAUUUUCAGAAUUCUACUAAAUAAUUAGUCUUCACUUGAAGAGUAUUUUUGUAACUGAAUCAUUUCUCAACACUGAAAGCUUUGGCAAACACCUACUUUUAUAGCUGAGAGUUAGUUGAUGCAAUUCAAAUUAGCAACAGCUGUGGAUUAAAUCCAAAAAAAAAAAAAAACAUAAAUAUAUCUAAACUGGAGGUUUAAGUUCUGUACAUACAUUGUUUUUAUUGAUCACAGCAUCAAUGUAUCAAUCACAUACAAAUUUCAUCAGUUAAUACGUUGAAGUUUGAAACUACCCGUCCUCAGCAAUCUCAAUUCAUUAACAAAUGGAAGAAAGAGAAGGAAAAGAAAUUAGCAUACCGAAUCAUGGAAAGUGCAGGAACCUUCGGGAUUGUCGUCCUCGGUGAAGGUGGCGUUGCAGCCAAUUCGCUGGCAUCGAAGACGCUUCAAAGCGUCGUCGUUCUGACUCGCCAUUCUUUUGGAUUUCGCGCGUUCAAGAGGUAAGUAAGGUAAGCGUUUCGUAGAGGAAGAGUGGAAGACUUUGCAAGGACUCGAUUGGUCUGCAAUGUAAAGACAACGAAGAUUCGUCCUUUGUCCUUGCUCUCGAGUUUUUUUCUUAUACUUCAGUGCUGCGUUUUGAUUCACAUUGUGAUGGAAUAAUUUUGAUUCGGUCGACGUGUCCCCAUCUUUGACGGUCCAUUAUAAUCUCGGUCGCUUAAACACGAUCAUACCGGCUUCUGCGUCGGGUCCUCUGCGAAAAUAGCAGAUAGGCCCCUAAAAUUUUGCUCAAUCUCAGUUAUACCACAAUGUUUUCAAAAUGAACAUUCAAACCCCUCUUCAUAAUUUUCUUUUUAAAAAAAGAUCCUUUUCAUUUUGGGCUAGUAUUAUUGGUAUUUUUUUUUUCUAAAUAAAUAAAGCAAUAGAAAAUCGGAUAAAAUUUCAUCGAUACACUUCUCAAACUUUAAUAGGUUUAAGGUUUGAAAGCGUACACAUCCAUUUUCUUCAAUUUCAUGAUUUUAUCGAGUAAGGUAUAGGGUUUACAACCAAGACUCAGAGAAUUCCACAAUGAACUGCUUAAAAAUGAGAAGGUUCUAUGCAUUGUAAAAUGUUACUUCAGUUGAGAACAUUUCUCAUCAUGUUUCAUAAACAAGGCUAUCUCACAUCCAUUAUCAUCUACAGCUUUCUUUCCGAGGAACAAAUCAAUAACAUUUUUAUGUGCGUUUCAAAACGAGUGGUAUAUCGUGAGUGGCUUACAACAUGCCAACCGACUAGUAUGAGCAGGGUUAUGGGCCGAUAAUUUUGUAUUUACAGUAUCCAAAAACAUUAGAGAACGUGUGUAUGUACAUCUAAACUAUGUGCUGAGUUACAGUGGAACUGGAGUCUUGACCUGUAAUCCAAAUGCUCAAAAAUGGAACUGGUAAUGGCACCACACCCUGAUUUUAGAAAUUGCUGAUAUCAAAAUCGUAGCCCCCGAUGAGCCUGCAGUAAUGAAUUGUCACAAUAUUCUGUUAUGCACUCCAACCAGGGCUGCUGGCCUUCCCAAUAAAUUUAAAUAAUACAACAGAUUUAGCAUGUUUUCAAGACAAGAAAGUUUUUUCAUAAACAAAAAGUAAAGCAUCAGAACUAAAAUAGUCCUGGGAAGAUAUUCAAUGUUCCUAAAGAUUUCUAGCACUUCAAAGCCUGAGAAAUGUUGAUCGCAGAUUUCAUUCUAAUAGCUGUCCAUUUCAAGUGAAUCUUCGACAAUGGGCAAAGACCUUUCUGGUCUGUAGCAAUAAUGUAAUAAAGAAUGGAUACACUGUUCUUUUGAAUCUAUAUUUAUAAUAAUGUAUCCCUGUUGAUGACAGAGCAUCUUAUAUGCCCCGUAACUUCCUAAUGCUUAGAAUUUGCUAAAUGCUAAAAUGCUUAAAAGCGUGUAUUCUGCCCAUGCACAAGCAAAAUCACCCCAGCUUCGUGCUUAAAUGCCUACCUCUGUGUGUGUGUGUGUGUGUGAGAGAGAGAGAGAGAGAGAGAAACCUCAGAUCUUGGUGUGCCUUCUGACGGGAACCAAUGCAAAAGUAUACCCAAGUUCAUCACAUUUGGUAUCAAUUUGAACAGAAGAGGAGUUGUAACCUGUAGAUUAUCUUUCGCUAGCAUCAACGGCAUUCGUUUUAAUUAUAAAAGAACUGUAAAGCUUCCAAUGCAGUUUCUAUAUCAUAAGCUUACCAGACUGAGAGCUGUAGUUCCAAGAAGAAGAAGAUACAUCUUUCCCUAAAUUAUCAAUCAAGUUCAAUUCAAUAGCAAGAACAAAAACAUUAGUUGUGAUGAUGAUAAUAUUUUUAAAAAGACAUGACUUAAACAACUAUUAGACAAGGGCUAAGGUAUAAAUCAAGCAUCAGAACGAGAGACUGAUGUCACCUCAACAAGAUGAAGAUUUGAGGCUCGACUUAGAAGAACAAAAGCAAAUUCUCCAAUUUGAGCAAGUGACACUCCAACCUGCAUCAUAUAUAUGCACAUAUAUAUAACAGAUCCAGAAGAUCAGAAAACUUUAUCUAAAAUAAGAAUUCUAUUCCAUAAGCUUAGGAAGCCAACUUACAAGAAAUGAUGUCCUCAUGCUAUAACCAAACAGCUUAGUAACUAUAGUACCAACAGCUGUCUUAACAAUGAUAACCAGAAUAACAGAUGCAAGCAAAAUGUCCACAUGAUUCCAUAGAAAAUGUACAUGUAUGAGCAUUCCAAUACUGGAGAGGAAAAGAGCCGCAAACAGGUUACGAAUUGGCUCCACCUACAGCAUAGAAGAACCUCAACUUCAGGAGAUAUUGAUUAGGAUAUUCUACAACAGUGCAAAUGACUAAAAUUUUCAAGUGACAACCAGAGCAAUGCAAAAUCUUCAAUUUUCUUCAGCCACUUAAUAGGAAAAAGGGGCACAAAUAAAAGGAAUUGUUCAUUAAGAUCUGGAAAGAUGAAACAAAUUAAGAUAAAAUAAAAGGAAUAAAAAAUUUCCAACAGAUGCAUUGGAACUUAAAAUAGCAUAACAACCCUUUUCUGGAAAGUGGAAACAACUCUGUAUAAGUCAGGAUUUUUAAUAAAAUGCAUUCUUCAUCCACAAAAUAAAAAUAAAAUCUAAGUGGAGGAAUUAUCACUAGCACAGAAAAGUACCUGAUCUAAAGUAUGUUUAGCAAAGUCAGUGGUAGAUAUCAUCACUCCAGCCAUGAAUGAACCCAGCUCAAGACUGAGGCCCAGCUUAUCACUGCACUGAAAAGAAACUCCAAAGGUAUUACAUUGUCCAAGCGGAUGAUCACUUAACAGCAUAAAAGAAUAUCAUGCAGUGCAGAAACAGUAAAUUAACAAAGCAGAAAACAGAACCCAUUAUCAAUUGCCAGCAAGGUGUAUUAACCUUGACAAAACAGGUAAUUAUGUAUUGCACUUACCCAAGCAGAUAAUAAGCAAAAAGCUACAGCAGCAAGCUGAUAAAGCUCAUUUGUCUGGACAGGCGAAAAGAAAUCAAAAUGAGCUAAUAAAGGACAAGAAAUUUAUCAAAGUCAAGGCACAAAAACAAAAUAUAUGUACAAAACUCACUUGAGAUGACAGCUGUAUCAUGAGCUUUAGAAAGCGGGGAACAAAAGACCAGGAUAAAAUAGAUGUAACAGUGAGAUAAAUGGACAAAACCAGCAGCCUGAAGUUAAUAAAAGAAAAAUGUCACUAAUCAACAAAUAAUGUUUGCACAAGGGCACUGGUCAACAACAGCAAGGAAACAUUGUUGAAAAAGAAAAGGAGAACAACAAGAGCAAUCACAUUAAAAUCUAAAUUUAAAGAGCUCAAAUGAACUUACAACUUCCCCAUUGAAACCAUUCCUUGCAGAAGGCCACUGUUACCACCCAAGACUGGGAGCAGAGCAAAUAGUAACCCAACAGCACAAUCCUGAAAUAACACAAGGUCAAGAAACGGCUAAAUAUGCUUCAAAAACUGAAUCCUACUAGUCCAUGUCAUAAAUUGUAAGCGGAAUAUCAUUAAUAUAGUUUUUAAACAGCACCUGUAAAAUAAGUGUUCCAAUUGUAACUUGACCAUGAAGAGCAUUAUUGCUGUUCUGUUCUACCAAAAAUUUCACCACCUAGCACAGGUAACAGGAAAAGUAUGAACCAGAUAGAAAUCCACUAGCGGAAGCCAAGAUGAAAAGAGGAAUUCUAUUGCCAAAAAAAUGGUGUAGAAGAAUACCACUGCAGUUGAUGACAUUGAUAAGAAGGAACCAACAAAUACUCCCUCUGACAAUUUGGCUCCACAUAACUGCAGCAUAAGCAAAUAGUCCAAGUUUAACAUCAAUUUUGACAAGAAACACAACAUACAGAAAUUGUAACAAAAACCAAAUCAGAGGCUAAGCAACAUACUGCAGCCGUUAUGCCACACAAGAACAUAAAUAUUGCAAUUUGUAGUAGCCCUCCAAGAACAGCGACAUGUCCCACUGCUUUUAACUGCAUUGAUGAUGAAUUAUGGAAUUGGAACAGAUUUUAUGAACAAAGAAGGAAAAUGUUGUCAAUAGUUAUCAUACACUUUCCAAGCACAGAAUGAUGUACCUUUGUCAAAGAAAACUCUAGCCCCAAAGCAAAAAGAAGGAAGACAACACCAAAUUGUGCAAAAGUUUCAACCUGUGAUGAAUGAAACAAAAAGGAACUUGUUACCUGGAAUAAUGAUCGCAAAAUAAACAGAAGAACAAAUACACCACAAGAAUCUCUACCAGAUAAUAACUAAUAGUAGUUUACUGAAUAUCUACCAAUUCACCUAGGCUUAAUGAGCUAAAUGAAAAACUUUUCAUCAGAAAGUUAAUAUCAUAAUGAGGGAUUGAUAGUUAAAAAACUGGAAAAGUUAAAGAGGAACAUACUGUUUUUCGAGGCCAGGUUUUCUUCAAAAUCUCUUGAUGUGAAAGUUCUCAGCUUUCACAACAAAAAACUAAAUUUUGCAGUGAAGUAUUGUGGGACCGAUUACCAUAGGUUUUAUCAAACCAGAACUAAAGCAGUACCGCAACCAUUCUCGAAUUAGUUUAUUCAUUCAGCAUUAUAUCACCUUUAUGCAUCCUUUUAUAUUCAUCCGGUCUACUUCCAAGAAAAUCCUGUCAAAAUAGCCUAUGAACUAAGUGUCCCAAGAAAAUCCUGUCAAAAUAGCCUAGUGUCCCCGUACACAUUACCAACUGGCCAUUAUUUAUUUGUUUAUUUUCUUUAGCAGUAACUAGAAUAACUAUAGCUAGAAGAAGAAAUAAUCAGAGUGCCAAUGCAUAAACUACAGAAUAUACAUUCUACACCAAGAAUUGAUUAACUGAACUAUUUACAAUAGCAUACCUGUACCAAUUCGCUAAUGAAUUUCAGGCCCCCUGGUCCAAUAAUCGAACCAGCAAGAAGGUAGCCCACAAUAACCUACCAUGUGAAUCCAUAACUAUAUAAGAAUCCCAAAGCGUCCAUCAUUCAAAUCACUUAAUAUUGCUGAGUGCGAACCACCGUAAAAAGUAAAUGAUCAUUCAGUGCAAACAAGUAUAUCAUAUAUGCAGAAAACAAACAUGUAAUAUUACAAACCGGUUGUCCCAAACAUGAAAAGAUGAUUCCACCAAUAGCAGCAGAAACUAUGACAACUACCAAAUCUGAAAUUAAUCUGCAGCAAGAGUGGAAAAACUAUUAAGCAUAAAUCACAGGCGGCAUGCGAGUCAGUACUCAAGGAGAACUUAGAAGUAUGCAAAAACUUAAUUGCUUUUAAAUCAUAAUUACACCACUGUCAAGUAGCAAGACCCUAGAGAUAUUGUCUAAUAUUAAUAUGAAGAUAAAGAGAUUCGGACCUCAAAUCUACUUGAAGAACUGGAUACUUGGAUUUCUUGUUUGACAUCACAAACACAUUAUCCUACGUUAAGUAGGAAAAACAGGUCAACUCUGUCUAAUUAAAGAAUCUGUCCAAAGUUUCCGCACAAAAAAUCAAUUGCAAACAUUCACCACACCUUCUUGUCAAUCAAGGUCAUUUCAUCAUCAGAAUCCUCUUGAUCUGAGAAAAAGACAUCUUGAAACUGAAAUGGCCGUGUACCACUGACCAAGAUAUAUACAAGGUUUAAAAAAAUGUCAGUUUGGUAACAGAAGAAACGUAAUCUCUGAUUUCAAUAUAUUUAACAUAUAUUGUCCCAAAGAAUUCAUUUUGAAACACAACAGAUUUUAUACAUUCCCAUACUUCGCUUCUUGAGUAUCAUUUCUCUUCAUCUUCUCAUGAGUGAUUUUUGCUACAGUCUCCAGUACUGCCUGAAAAUCAUAAUCAUGACGCAACAUUGACAUACAUAGAAGUGAACAGUGGAGGAACAGAGUUAUAUAACUAGGAAAAUUACUUCUAAAACAAGAAAUAACCAAAUUUAUCAUAUGACAAUCACUGGUAAAAAACUGCCUGUUAAAGGUACAUUUUUAGUUACCAAAUGUGAUUAGCCAAAAACAUUUAAAUGACAUGUAAGUAAUCCCAAUUCUCUUUUACUGAAAAUGUAAGGUGCAUCACCAGCUGUAUUGUAUUUCUUUACAUACCAGUAACCCAGAUAGAAAACAAGAUUUCAGUUUCUUUAAUUAACUCCUAAAAGCUUAAUAACAGAAGUUAUGCCAGCUCAACAAAACUCUAAUCACCAAUUAUUCAUUUAAAAAAAAAAAUGAUUUCGGAGGUUCAAUCCAAUAGCCUUAAGUGAAGAAGCAAACUGACUUGUUGAUCUGCUACGCUGCUGUUGAAGCUGCUCCCGUCAGAUCCUAGUGAGAGCAGAAAGUAUGACUAAAUAUUAAGCACAAAACAUUGAAGUAGCUAAUGAGGCACCAAUGAAUACAUGCAAGCAUGUGGAACAGUCACAGUUUCUUAUGCAAUCAAUAACUGAAAACAUUAAAAGAAAAAGCAUAGGACAUGGCAAGUAUCACCAGUCCAGGAUUCAAAUCUGAAGCAUAUACUAUCAACCUCAAAGAGCACUUGAAAAAGAAUGUUAAGCACAAGAUAUUCUAUUUUCAAUCUAAUACAAAAUAUACUGGCAUCAAUAGAAGUCAAAACUACAACCACCGUCCUGAAAUUUAUUAUGCAACUUGAUAUGGACUCAACAGGAAUUUAAAACUUCCAAAAAUCUAAGUAACCCAAAAAAUAGAUACAUGUUUUCUUUUCACAUACAAUUUAACUAGCAUGGUGCAAUCGAAUGUGACUUUAACACAUAUUAGGGGCUACAUCCAGUCAUCCAGUAGUCAGAUUAAAAUUUAUCCAUAGCAUAAUAGAGCCAGAAUGAACAGAAUACCAUAGCAAAUGCCAAAACAAGAACAAUGAAACAAAAGACAACUUCAGAAAAGAAAUGAUAAAAUGUGAGAAAGUGAAACUUUAAACAAGAGAAUGAAUUAGGUGACAGAAUCAUCCAUUCACUAAUACAAAGUGACUCUCAGCCACGUUAAAACAAUAGAUCCAAUUACAACGGUUCUAUUCUCUAAGUAAUGCUGCUAUUCCACUACUCUCUAAAGUUUAACUAUCCACUUCAUGCUAGGGUCGACCGUAUAACUAGUGAUGGAAAUCAUAAAACAAAUUUAAUCUUAAAAUUUUAGUUCUUGAUGAAGAGCAUAACAACUUGCUUCCAACUCCUCCCUUGCCUAUCCCCAUCCCCACUAUGUAUAAUACCUCCUAGUAAACUUGGAUCCCAAUACAGAUUAUCAGCAGUGUCACCCCCAAUAACUUACCACCAAAAAUAUGCAAUGUAUGCUGUCUUCUUUUUACUCUUCUUCACUUCAACUUCUCACCUCGAACAACUCCAAAUUUUCAUAUAUUUAACGGUUUCAUAAUCAACUUCAGCCCUUCCAAAUUUAUAAUGUAGCUAACCAUCAUUCCAAUGAUGUCUGUUCAAGCUGUUGUAUUCAAAUAGUCAUCAAUUGGUGGAAGCUUUCCUAGAACUUGAAAGAGUAUCAAGAAGGUCUAAAAAUUGCAUUACAGUGGAGCUAAUUAUAUAAUUAAGCCUGAUACCCACAUUCGUUGCCUCUGCUAUUGAAAAAUCAUUACAAAACUAAUCAAAAUCAAAUCUUUAUAAAAAAAAUCUACUAAUAUUACAGCACAAAUCAUAAAAUUCAGCAUCAAAAAAAAGAAAAGAAAAGAGAAAUUAAGAAACGCAAACGAAGCCGAACCUGAAGACUGUUCGUUAUCGGGAAACUCUUUCUCGAGAACCCUGUCGAACAUUUUGGCUAUACUGCCGUCUCCGGAAUCCUCCUCCGUCGUAUUAACCAAAUUACCGUAAAACCUCUGGCGGGUCUCCUUAUCAGAUCUCGCGGACAUGCAUAUCCGCGAAUAAACCAAAACCAGGACAAGGACAAGGCAAUACCCGAUCCCAAACACAGCGCCACCUCCGCUACCACCACGUCUCGCCAUCGGUUGCAGAAACCUCUCUCUGUCUAGAGUGCGGGGUUUCUUUGGAUCGAAGACGUGUGCGUGGUUUUUGCUAUUUUAACUGUCAAAGGCAGGGCGGGAUCGCGCGUGAUAUUAAAAUGAAAAAUAUGUUUAUGAUGUGAUGGUGAUUAGUUACGAAUGAAAUUGAUUUAUUAACAUCAUUUCUUUUUUUCCUUUUUUUUAAUUAAAUAAACCUUUUUUUUUUGGUGAAUUAAGAAACGCGUUUAUUUUUGUGCUGGAGUUGUUGUUAAGUGACAUCAUAAUUGUUCAUUAGUUAGGCUGCAAUAAUUGUCAUUCCUUCGUUGGUUAAUUUCAAAAAAAAAUUUCAUUUGAUGGUUGUCCUCCGAGCUCGUGAUAGGAAGAUGCUCCCAGUAUUGUAGGAACGUAACGUCUAAUUUAGUACGACCAACGCGAGGAGAAUUAACGAACUAGUCCCUCUCGUUCCAAAAAUGACAAUUAAGUCUAUAGGUUUACCGAUUGUCUCAAAUUCAUCACUACGUUUGUUUUUUAUAGUCAAUCGAUAAUGAAACAUAACCAAAAGAAGGAGGUCUCUACACAACACAAAGAAGUGGGUUUUUAAAAAGAAAAUACACAAAUUAAUGGAAAAUUGUUGGAAAAUAGAAUCAAUUGCGAUCAAAUAUAUUCAGGGAUGGAGUCGAAAAAUUUGUUCAAAUGGACAUGUUCAACAUAUUAUACAAUUUCAUCUCUUAAUGUAGCUCAAUUGACUAUGAAUAUGUUUUACGUCCGCAGCCAUUUGAGUUCAAAUAACAAUAAAUAGUAAAGAUUGGUAUUUAUUAAGUGAGAUUUCACAUUCUCAAUCCAAAACCCUUCAAAAAAAGUAAAAUACAAUUUCAAAAAAAAAAAUCAAAUAGUCAACAAGAUAUGGCAUUUUAACUAUAAUAUUCAUUGAUUUAUUUCUACAUCGAGAAUUCAAAUAUUGAACUAUUAGUAAGCAUAAUCAAUUUUUGAAAUAGUCAACAAGAUAUGUUCAUGAUAUUUAAAACGCAGAUGAAACACUUUCACAAAUUCAAAUAAAGUAAGGUCUGAUGUCAAAUUAUUGUUGAAAAGUUUUCCGAAACCAGCUGGAACGGUGCCUCAAUUGAUCUUAUACCAGCUCCGCUGUGAGUAUAUGUAUAUGGGUUGAUAAUAUGCAUUAGAUCCCAAGUAAACAAUAAUUCGAAACUACACAAAAUUUGUAAAAAAUAUAUCUCCAAUAAUAUAACAUUUCAUAAAAUUAUGAUAAAAUGAAGUAAUAUAUUAUUUGUGUAAAAACAUCACAAGACACUUCAUGGACGAGAAUUUAUUUUAGAAUAAUAAUAUUUUGGACGGCAUUUCGCAUUUCUCCAAAGUCAAAAAUAGUUAUUAACCCAAUAAUUUAUCACAAUUCAGUGUUUUAAAACUUCCGAACGUAACCUUAAUACUAUUGGGCUUUGUGUCAAGCCCAAAUUUUUCUGUUUUUUCACCCCCUUCCUCCAAAUGUGUUCUAAUAACACGGACGACGUGUCAGAGGCGGCGUCCACCCAAGUGUGGCUAUAAUAAGUUCACACUGCAAGCGAGCCAACAACCAAGCGUGUGCUGGCCACAGGUUGAUUCUAUGCACUCAGCUUUUUCUCUCUGCCCUUAUCAAUCACAUAUUUUUUCAGAGCGUAUCAAUCCGUGCGUUUCAAUGGCGUCGAUUGCGAUGAGUUGUUCGGCGGCUGUGCCUGGAUUCCGUUUCAACAAAUCGCCAAUGGCGGCGGGUGUAGUUACGGCGAGGCCGAGGCGCGUGGUGGUGGUGAGAGCGGAAGGUCAGGGGAUCAAUUUGGAUAUCAGGAAGACGGAGGAGAAGGUUGUUGACUCUGUCGUGGUAACCGAGCUCUCCAAGCCCCUCACCGCGUAUUGCAGGUACUUUAAUUUGGUUCUGUUUCGUAAUUUAAAUACCAGAUUAAUUUAGAGACGCCUUUUUUUUUUUCAAAUUAUUGUUGUUAUUUGUUAUUAUUUACAGGAUGUGUUCGGAAUAGGAAAUUGAUUUAUGAGAUAAUUGUUAGAGAACCACAAAUAGAAAUAGAAAUUACUUGAGAGCGUUUGGACUUGGGGAAUUUGAAUAGAAAAUUACAAAUAGAAAUAGGAAGUACUCUUCUGAAAGAGAAAAAAAAAAAAAAAAAGUUAAACACUAGAGCUCUUUCUGCUCCGAAGUGCUUUCUAUAUAAAAUAUACAUAUAUAGUAGAAAAUUAAAUGUUAUCAACUUACCUACUAGGACUAACUUACGUACCCAGAUUUUUAAUCCUCACUAAUAUUCGAGGGAUGAAAAUACGAGCUUAUGGGGGUGCUUGUGGUAACUUACCUACUAAGAUCAACUUACAUCAAUACUUAUGGAGUUCGACUCAAAUUUUUAACCAUCACUAAUAUUCGAGGGAUGAAAAUAACCCACAUUGCGCUUGUGGGGUUACUUGUGGGGGUUCGCUGCCCUCCAAGUAAUAAUCUUAUUUGUAAAUAUCAGUUCUAAUCUCAUACAAUAUGAGUUGUAGUUUAAGUAAUAGUCUCGUGUAAUUAAAAAAAAAAAUAACUUGUGAUGUCGAGGUUUUGAUCAUUUGGGUUUGUUUGAUUGUUUUGAGUGUAGAUGCUGGAGGUCAGGGACGUUCCCCCUGUGCGAUGGAAGCCACGUAAAGCACAACAAAGCUACUGGGGAUAAUGUUGGGCCUUUGCUGUUGAAAAAGCAGUGAUUAUGUUAUGUAUUUUCAUUUUCCCUUGGUGCCAUUUGUUCCUGAACUUGAGAACUGAAACACUUUUGAGAGUUGAUUGCAUGAAUAAUGAGUUUUCUGUCAUUAGUUGACCAAAACUUUGGUCGCAAUAGAAUGCUAGGAAUAAUAGCCUAGGCGAUGUUAGAUUAAAGAGAGAAACAGUAUUGGGCCUUGGGUAUUGUUGGGCCUUUCAACAAUUAACCAAGAAUGCUGGUGCUUGUUGUAAAUCGCGGUGGAUUUCAUCAAAAUAAUGCUCUCCCAUUGUCUUCUUUAUUGUUCUUCCCAUUAUCUUUUUUUUAUAAUUAAUAAUUGUGAAUAACUCCACCUUCUAAUGCCUAUAUAUACCCUUUCUUUGCUAAUGAAUUAAUACAAUUCAAUUUGUCGUUCAAGGCAUUUUGCUUGUUUUCUUCGAUCUUCAUUUGAGUAUUCUUUACUUAGAUAUCAUCAUUAAAUAAUUGAUUACAUACAAUCCCUUUAAAUUAUAACAUUCAUUAUCUCCAAAUUUAUAACAGUGCUAUUAUUAUUAGAUGCACUAUAAUACAGCAUAUACUAUAUGACGAACUUCAUUUUUAACAAGUUUAACCGCCCACCGACUCAUUACAAUUCCACACGCCCUCGUUUGCUCGAAUGAAAAAAAAAAACUUCUCUCUUUUAUGAAUGAAGGGGACGUUGAAAACUUGUGAGUUUGAUAAAGAACAAAAUUAAGUAAUGAAAAUUACAACCGUGGCUUAUUGGGCGUUUGACAUUAAUGAAAAUCAAAGCUGAUGCUUGGUCGACAUUUGAUUCGUCAACUUUUGAUCGCCCCACCGUGCGGCAAGGGAAAGUGAUUAUGCAAAUCGAUAUCUAUAUAUAUAAGCUAAUGGUAGAGCUUGUGCUUGGCCGCCAAGUGAACUGAAUGAAUAUGACGUUUCGCGUGGUGUUCUUUUUAAAUUUUAAUUUUGGCAUGUGCAGAUGUGAAUCGAUAUCAUAUGAGUUUAUACGAGUGGCAUAUUGUAAUGGACUUAACUGCUAUUUUUACUGCCAAGCGAUCCCAGCUUAGUAGGUCAUCAUUUCUUGUGUGCUUGCUGAUCCCACCCCCACAAUUGUUGAAGUUUUCAUUUAUGUCCGCUCGUCGUGAUAGAAUGUGUACACUGUUGUAAACGUUGAGUAUCGGCAACCAAAAAAUAAAUAAAAACCUUGUCAGCGCACUGGAAAAAUUAGUGGUGCAUUUGUUUCCUAUAAAUCUGAACAUGUAAGAAUCAAACGAGUUAUACUCGAAAUAAGUUAAAAGAGAACCUUGUACAAACAACACUUGUAAAUAUACAUUUGUCCUGAUCAUUCAGAUUCUUUAUCACCCUUGAUUUAUUGUAGCCUGCCCUAUAUUACAACUAUACAUAUACCCUCUUAGAAUCUGACAUUGAAAUUUUGACAAGAAACCAUUUUGAAGCAAGAAAAACUUGAUAAAAACUUGGCUUAUUACCCCGUCAAGCAUCUGAUAAUCUUCUUAAAGCAAAGCCCCACCACCCAUUUAUUCCAAAGAUGCAUUUGUAAUGGGUUGAAUCAAAAUAAAUUGGAAUGAAAAUAAAGAAUAAGAAUUAGAAGAAAUUAUUUUCUUGAACUAUAGGAAUCAAAAUCUUGAGUCUGUAUAGGUGGAAGUCAUUUUCUCCUAUAAGUUUCUCUACAUCAAGCUUAGGCGUUACCAUUCUUAGACCAAGAAUUCAUGGAAUGACUCUGAUACCAAUUAGUUGAACCAAAAACUUAUUUAAAGGCUGUCAAGAGUGAUAAGUCCAUCUAAUCAAGAUGCAUGUUAUUCACAGCAAUAAGUGCCAAUAGAAUUCUUAAAGAGGAGUGUUUAACCACCGGAGAAAAUACCUUAGUGAAAUCAAUUCUCUUAUUUUAAGUAAAACUUUUGGCUACAAGCCUUGCUUUGAAUCUUUGUGUCUCAACACCCAGUAUUCCCUCUUUAAUUCUAUAAAUCCACUUACAGCUUAUUACUUUUUUGUUUGUUGGUUUCUCAAUCAGAUCUCAUGUAUGAUUCUUUAUUAAAGAUUAUGCUUGACUUAGAAUUUCUAGGUAUCCAACCCAAAAAAUUAGUUUAUUGAGUGGAGUGACUUAUUCUCCUUAUAAACCCAAGUAUCUUCUCUUUACUAGCUAAUGUGGGACACAUCUCAACAACUAGAAUGUAAAGAAACUCGUGUGAUUUGUGUUCUGGUGAUUUGUGAUUGAUCUAACUUGAUUAAUGUUUUCCCAAAGGUUUAGGAGUCUCGUUUCGCUGCCAUAACUUUAAACUGAGUGCUUUGUUUUUGCUAUUAAUAAUGUCUGCAUUAUGUUUUACAUACUGAGGUUACUUGCUGUGUUUAUUUAAGUUCUGUUUUACAUCAGUACAUGUUCUUGUGAAUCUCUCUUUCAUCUAGAAAUUUCUACUCACGACAAUUGAUGUUUGGGCAUUAUUAUUCCAUUUAUCUGACCAAACAUGAUGGUCAGAUUCCUUCAUAUUCUUAUUUGAAAUCAGGGUAAUGCAUUGCUCUCAAGUCGAGGAAGGAAGCAAUCUUACGUUCUCAUGUGGUGCGAAAAUUCUUUGAUCCAAGAGCAAAUUCUACUGGAACUGGAAUGAACCAAAAGGUUUCUUGACCCAUAAAUGUGUCGUUUGGAAUAUUAUUUAAUGUACGUUGUUUUUUUUAAAAAAAAAUUGAAAAUGUUUCUUAUAAUUUAACUUAUAGUUGUUAAAACUUUUUGGUACGAAAUAAUUAACAUAACUUUUUUAAAUUUCAACGUAGCUUCAUUGGAAUUCCUAUUGUGUGAGAAUUAAUAUGCAUAAGAGUAAGUCAAUUAAACCUAUUUCUUUUGCCUUUAAGAUUUCUACAAAUUCAUAUAAUUAUGUCUAACACUAAAAUUCGUCAUAGUUUUAUAUACAUUCUAUUAAACUUUGUUUUUAAAAGUCACUGAAGCUAUUGGUGUUUUCUUCCAUCUUAAAAGUCACUCGGCCAAACGCGAGUGGUUAGGCCUGCUACCCUCUAAGCAGUUCGAACCCCUACAAGUAUAAUGUGGGAGUAUUUCCUUCUUUAAUUAUAUUGUAUAAUUGAAUGAAAAUAAUCUUCUCACUUACCCACGAGUAAGUGGACCAGACAUCCCUCGAAUAUUAGUGAGGGUUAAAAUAUGAGCAGAGCUCCAUAAUCAUUAAUAUAAGUUGGUCCUAGUAAUAGUUUGAUUUGUAAAUAUCAGUUAUAAUCUUAUGUAAUAUGAGUUGUAAUUUGAGCAAUAAUCUCAUAUAAUCAAAAAAAAAAAAAGAUAAUAGUUCUAAAGAACGUGUAUUUUUUAAUAUAAAUUUUGUUAAGUAAAUUAUUAAUGUAUUUCAACUGUAUGAAUUUAUAGACUUCUCAAAAUCCCGGGUUGUAUUAGACCAUGAUACAUUUUAAAGAACACGCACAUGAAAAAUCAUGUGCAUAAAGAGAGACUGAUGAUGAAUUAAUUGAAGCAUAAUUAUCAAUUUGUCAAACCUCAACAAUCAACAAAUGAGCUUAUAAAGCCAUCUUUUUUUCUAGGCUGUCAUUUUUGUUUUUACAUCGAAAUCUAAUUGCUUCUGUAUCCACUUACCCAUUAAACUCUAGAAUGUUUGAUACUAGAAAUAAUCCAACUGUACUCCAAAGUCCAAAAAUAAAUGUUGUCAAUUAAUCCCAUACUAAAAAAAUUUAAUAAAAUAAAGUUCUAAUCAAUGCCCUUCGCUGUUUUAGAGCAUGCUUUUUUUUUUAUUUCUUAUUUCCGUCUCGGGCGCUUGUGCUGCUGGGAAAUUAAGCUACCAAGCACAUGUUAAGUGUGACAGAUGCUUCUAGUAGUUGAGAUAUGCACAUCACUACAUGUCAUGUGUUAGUGUUGGAACUCGCAAGCUCUUAUUGUGGACGUUCUCAUUUUUAUCAACAUGAUGAUCAUAUUAUGCUCAUGAUUUGCUUGCUAUUAAAGGAGUAAAAUUUUACCGUACUAUUUUUGAAUUAAUAUGUUUAAGACAGGCGAAAAAAAAAAAAAAACCCAUCUGUAGUUCUGUACGUAUUUUAUGAUUUUAUGUCAAAUUAAUAUUUUAUUCAUUUCAUCCCAAAUGCCAUUGGAUUCUUUAGUGUCGGUGUUACAGCUUUAAUGCAUCAAAUUUAGGAACUUUAAUGUAAAACAAUUAUGAUUGCUAACGUUGGCCCAGUCCACACGUUGGGAGUAACAAAAGGUCAAAUCCAACCUUGGGAGUUCUCAAAUCGCAAUUGCCCUUUCUUUUCUUUUUAUUUGGUUUGUGGGAAAAAGACUGUCAUAGGGUAAGGUUUAGGAAAAUGAAUCAAAAAUAUCUCAACGUUUUAGAAAAAACUAUUUACAAUUCUAUUUUUUUUAGUAGAUUCUAUUUGUUUUAUUAAAAAUGCAUUUUUAUUUUAUAAUUAUUAUUAUAUCCCUCUACCAAAUAAGUCAAUAGGUUAUUAACCUUUGAUGAAAUUGAUGAGAUUGGUGGCUAGUUGACUUUUAUCAUAAACAUCCUCUUCAGAGCCACUUCAUCGAAGCUAUUGUCGGUUCGUCGAACAAGAAACCGGUUCUACCAAAGCACGCAUAAUUAAUUAAUUAAUCUCUAAUAAACACUUAUUAAACACGUAAUUUUUGUUAAAAGAAAAAAAAAGUGACAUAAGAAAUGAUUCACAUAUAGUCAAGUUAGUAUUAAUUUUUUUUAAAAAAAUCCUCUCAUGAUCUAUGUCUUCUGAGUUUUUCAAGAUUUUUUUUUAUGUGUAUUUUAGUGAUAGUGUAUGGAUAAGAUUCAACUCUUUUUAUUUUUUUUAUUUAUUAACUAUCAAUUAAUAAACGAAUUAUUUACUUAGAAUAUAAUCAGAUUAUAAAAGAAUCUUAAUCUAAUUUUUUUAAGAUUAACAUAUUAAAUUAAAUUGGUAUGAGCCAAAAGUUGACAAUAAAGAGUAAACCAAAUUGCCGCCACACUCAAAUAAAUCCUCCGAUCCGUUAUCUGUACAUAAAAUUACUCGUGGGGGCGGUAUGUUUCAGCAAUCGGGUUUUAACCACUUCUGAUGUUUUGCAAAUGUGGGUCCAAUAGAAUCAUACUCCAUAUGAUUCCGCCAAGUUUCCAAUUGUAUUCCAAAAUUUCAAACGUGAUAAUUUUUCCUUUUUGCCCUUUUUUUUCUUAACUCAAGUUUGUCGGCGGCGGGUGCCCAAAGCUUUUGUUUCCUUGGGCCUCAACGGACCCUUACGAACGGACCACGUGAGCCCGAAAGUUUAUCGCUUUACUUUACUCUUAUCAUUACAGCUAUUAGCUAACCGUAUCGGGCGCCACUUCUCCGUCUUCACUACAUUUUAAUAAUGAGCAUGACAUUCUCAAAAAAAAUAAUAAUAAUAAUGAGCAUGACGUCCGCUGGCAUUACACGACACCGUUUCGUACUAGCAGCGACAAAAUUAACAGGUGUCAAUCCCACUGUCAUGGGCCCACGCGUCGCGCUACACGUGGCGGCGCUACGGCACGUGGUCAACUUUUUAAAUUAGACCCUUGUUUAGAAAUUUGAAAAAUAUUCCUGAACUCCGAAUCUAGUAAUUGAAAAAUCGAUUCGCCGAAAACUGUGGCUUAUUGUGAUUGGUUGGUAUUAAUAAAUUAGUACAAGAGCGUCAAGGGGUACCACGACUAGCGGCAAACUAUUAUUCCAUUUUCUUUCUUGAAUAAUCCCGCUUUUAGCAUUAUAUUAAAAAAUUUAAAUAUAUAAUUAGAAAUAUUAUUAAUUAUUAAUGGAUUUAAUCACCCAAUUAUGGAAUUGAGAAUUGGACAAAUUUAGAUCUAAAUUUAUACUUGUAACCCAAAAAUGAAGAGUGUUAAUUCUACUUCCAUAAUUAGCUGAAAUAAUUCUUUCCAUUCUCUAUCACUACAAAUUUAGCCUGGCGAGGGGCGAACGAUAUACAAAAUUAUAAAUAGGAACGCCCCGACCAAUCAGGCAAUUAUGCAGGGGGUCGAACUUUCAGUGGGUACCCACAUCGAAGCAAAAGCACCGUUACAUUUUGAGAGUACAACACUUUGUCGGUCGUCCAAUCCGACGGCUAAAACUCACCCACGUGUCGAUCCUUCACCCCUCCGUUCCUCCUUGCUUCGCCAACAAUAAAGUACACGAUCCUUAAUUUCUCAAAGCUAAGCGAAAAACACUAACCGAGAAAUCACUCGUCUCUUUCCCAGCGCUUCUACUUUCCUUUCACUGGAGAGAAAAAAUAUAUUCCCAUUUGUUUCCGAUAAACCGGCACCGGAAUUAUCAGACGGCUAUUUUCUGAUGCUUCCAUAUUCCAAGCUUCCGUCGCCGGACCCGCCUCCGAAAAAAUCAAAAUUUCCCGAGUUAGAUCAAAAGAGCUCGUUAAAUGGACUGAUUUAUCCAACUCUCUCGCUUCAAAGCCCACGCUCAUGGCUGCUCCUCGUCAUCCUCUUGCUCCAGGUAAUUUUCGUCCUCGUGCUCCGCUCCGUCUCCAUGUCAUUCUCCACUAGCCACGUGGCGCCCCAACAGUCCCACCCCGAAAUAUCGGCCUCCGUCCCUCGCGUAUCGGACCAAUGCGAGUUGGGUAAAAUCUACGUCUACGAUCUCCCUAAAGCUCUCAACGAAGAUUUAUUACAAAAUUGCCACGAGCUGAACCCGUGGGGUUCUCGCUGCGACAUGCUGUUAAACGACGGGUUCGGCAGACAGGCGAGUGCGUUAAACGGCGUCGUACCGGAGAAUUUAGUCCCGGCUUGGCACUGGACUGAUCAGUUCGUUCUGGAAAUCAUUUUUCACAGAAGGAUUUUGAACCACAGGUGUCGGACGUUGGAGCCAGAAUCUGCUGCGGCGUUCUACAUACCGUUUUACGUUGGACUCGCGGUGGGGAAAUACCUGUGGUCUGAUUCGAGCGCCAAGGCGCGCGAUAUGCACUGCGAUAUGAUGUUAAAGUGGGUCCAGGAUCAACCGUAUUGGAACCGAUCGGACGGGUGGGAUCAUUUCACGGCCAUGGGGAGGAUCACGUGGGAUUUUCGGCGGUCGAAGGACGAAGACUGGGGGUCCAGCUGCAUCUACAAGAAAGCUAUGAGGAACAUCACCCGCCUCCUCAUCGAACGAAACCCGUGGGACUACUUCGACGUCGGUGUGCCUUACCCCACUGGAUUCCACCCCCGAUCCGCGUCCGACGUCACCCAGUGGCAGGACUACGUCCGCAGCCGCAAUCGCUCGUCCCUCUACUGCUUCGCUGGGGCCACGCGGAUGGUCAAGAACGACUUCCGGUCGAUGCUGCUGAGUCACUGCAAGAACGAGUCGGGCUCGUGCCGGGUCGUGGACUGCGAGGGGACCCGGUGCAUGAACGGCACGUCGGCGAUCCUCGAAACGUUCUUGGACUCGGUGUUUUGCUUGCAGCCGAGGGGGGACAGCUUCACGCGGAGGUCGAUAUUUGACUGCAUGGUGGCCGGUUCGAUCCCGGUUUUUUUCUGGAAGCGGUCGGCCUAUUUCCAGUACGCUUGGUUUUUGCCCGAUGAGCCCGGGAGUUACUCGGUUUUUAUAGACCGGAACGAGGUGAGGAAUGGGACCAAGUCGAUAAAAGCAGUGCUGGAGAGUUACUCACAAGAGGAAGUGAAGAGAAUGAGAGAUAAAGUAAUUGAUUAUAUACCAAAGUUUAUUUACGCCAAAUCCAGAGAAGGUUUAGGGACAAUCAAAGAUGCAUUCGAUGUUGCAAUUGAUGGGGUGUUACGGAGAAUCAAGGAGCAACAAGAGUUGGGAUUUAAGUGGUAGAUCAUGGACCGUCGGCUUAUGUGUAUUCUGUACAUAUUUUUUCACUACAGAUAAUUAAUUUUACCAAUAUAGAUGUAAUUUUUUUGUUUUUUUUUGCUUUUUGGAUCGAUGAGAGUUCUGCGAUAUACGUUUGCCUGGCAACUGGCUGGGUGGGUGGGUGGCCGGCCUUAUCAGAGUGAAGGACCACUGCUCCAUUAUUCUUUUGGAUGUCGUGUAUAUUAUCAUUUUUGUGGCGCCUUACAUUACUUACAUGGAUGCGCCAUGAACUGGGUUCCCUUUUGUUUCCUUGAAAUUGAUUUUUGGUAUCAAUACAAUGUUCAUUGCCGAAUAAAUUAUUGAUGAAGUUUUAAUUUAUUUCUUUUUGUUUGAUGGCUCGUGGACAUCUUGGAAAUAAGCUUGUAUGCGUUUUCUUUCAUGAUGAUUAAGAGAGCAGAUGGUGAAUAGAUAUAUAUAUAUAUUUCUUUUAUCACGAGGUAUUCUGGGAAGGGCCUCAACUGUGGGAGUUACCUUUAAGUCCGUACCAUAAUUCAGAUUAGAAGUCCCCGCUUGAAUCGAGAGGCACAUAUUCUCCCAACAAAGACGAAUAGAUAGUUAAAUGCAGAAGAAGGAAGCACACCAGAAUUUGGAAGCCGUGGUCUUUUAUUUUUACCAACGUAAACCUGAUUAUAAUACAUUUGACAACGUACAGUUAUAUUAUAUUCAACAACAUUCGACUAACGCAUGUUGUUAAAGUUAUAUUGUCUUAACCUGAUUGUUGUUAUUAUUAUUAUUGUUUUUGCACAAUAUGACAAAUAUUGUAAUAAAUAACAGUAAUUACAAUAACAAAUUAAGGGUAUUUUAGUAACUUAAAAUAAUUUAUUUUAAUUUUAAAAUAAAAUAAAUACAUCAACGUUAAUACGACUCAUUCUGAUUUUGAUAAGUAUUUCCUAAUUCAAUAAAUAAAUACUCCAUAAAAAAAAAAAGAAAAAGGGNNNNNNNNNNNNNNNNNNNNNNNNNNNNNNNNNNNNNNNNNNNNNNNNNNNNNNNNNNNNNNGUUAUCCUCUUUCAUUUUACAUUUCUCAUCAUUCCACCUUGUUGUUUUCCCAUUGGACGAUCAAGUUUGACAUCAUGUUUUAGUUGUUUUAUACUGCAAAUUGCCAGUAAAUAUCAAACACCAACAACCGCAUCAUUGUCCUCGCAACUAGGUUUAAACUGUUAUCUAAACCAUUUUUAAAUCAAAGUUUUGUCUUAGGGGAAGAAAAAAAUAGUGAAAUGGGUUUUCUGGUUUGAUGAUCUCAUUGAUUAAUAUAGAGGAACAUGGCAAAGUGACGAUGGUGGGCCUUAAAAGCAUAAAAAGCCGAAGGAAUCUCCAUAUUUUGCUACUUUCCUCUUGCAGAUGGAGGCAAGAGCAUGCCCAAUUACAAAUAUACAGAGUUAAUUAGGAAAGCAACAAAAACUAAUACUUCCUUGUCAAUGGCACCUUAUUUCUCAAUUUCUUUUAUGUCAGUGUCUGUAGUUUUUAGGAGAGUGACUGGGUGAGGGUGAGAGUGGUGAAGUGCAACAUAUAACAUAUGUAAGUAAGAGUAGGCCUAGCCACUCGGCCAAAGGCCGAGUGGUGAGAGCUGCUGCUCUCUAAGCAGCAGUUCGAACCCCCACAAUGUAUUGUGGGAGUAUUUUUUUUCUCAAUUAAAUUUGAGUGAAGGCAGUCUGCUUCCUUACCUAAGUACGAGGAGUAGACAUCUCUCGAAUAUUUGAGAGGGUUAAAAUUUGAGCAACGCUCCAUUAGCAUUGAUGUAUGUUGGUCUCAUUUAUAGUCUGAUUUAUAAAUAUCAAUUAUAUUCGCAUGUAAUAUGAGUUGUAGUUUGAGCAAUAAUCUCAUAUAAUAAAAUAAAAUAAAAUAAAAAGUAAGAGUAGGCCUUCCUCAUUUGUCAUUUCAAACCAUGUCAAGAGUUGAAUCAUUCCCACCCCUUCACAAACCUCUUAAAAUUCUUUUAAUUAUUUUACGAUUUUAACCUUUAUUAAAUUUACAUAACAAUUGUCUUGCGCUGAAAGCUCUCCACUUCACCAUCUUGAAUUCUGUUAGACAAACCGCAUCGUGUGAUCAAGACGAUGAAUGCGACAAUUGAAGAAUGAGAUGUCGAUAUCGAAUUCGGCAUGACGACAUCCCAUCUCCAUAUUAAGAUGACAGUGUGCAGAUAAUCUUUGAGAGGGGCCACUGGCUGCGUCUUUUAGUGAAAUCCCAAUUGAUUGUUAUUAGUUUUUACUGAUGAGAUGUAAGUCAUGUCUUCACAUUCAUUUUCAAGUGUACUGAUGAGGUUGAACAAUUUAAUUGUGAUAAAUAAAUAAAAAAGGAAUAAUUUUAGAAUAUAUAUGGUGUAUUAAAACUAAUUAAUACAUAUAUAACAUGUGUAAUUGAGUUUAAUACUCUUCAUUAUUUGUAUGAUAAUUUAUAAAAUAAAUACAUAUAUGUCAUGAUAUUAUUUAGUUAUUAUAUGGGUGAUAUGGUAGAUGUAUUUUAAAAUUUCUAUUAAAAAAAAAAGAAAUUUUAAGACGCAUUUAAAAGAGUGCCAAUAGGUCAAGUCAUUAUGUCAUUGACAAACAAUCUAAUCACUAUGGGUGUGUUUUUUUUUUAAUUACAUGAGACUAAUGCUUAAACUACAACUCAUAUUACAUGAGAUUAUAACUGAUAUUUACAAAUCAGAUUAUUGUUGGGACCAACUUACAUCAAUGCUAAUAGAGCUCUGCCCAGAUUUUAACCCUCACAAAUAUUCGAGGGAUAUCUACUCCUCACUCUUGGAUAAAGAAAUAGACUAUCUUCACUCAAUUUUUAAUUGAAGAAGAAAAUACCCAACAAUGCAUUUAUGGGGAUUCGAACUGUUGCCCUGCAGCUUAGAGGGCAGCAACCCUAACCACUCGGGCCAAGGCCGAGUGGCUCAAUGGGCGUGUUUGCAACCCGCAUAACAUCAGACUCAUGUUUGGGCAAUUGGGCUGCAGUAGCUGCAACAUUGUGGUGUAUAUUCAAACCCGAGUGUGACUGUUAAAUUAACUUUCUUUCUAUUUUUAUUUUUCAUGUAUUAUAACAAAUAAAAAUAAAUUUAUGAUUAAUUUUAAAUAAUUUAAUAAUAUAUUUUUUAUUUUAUAUUAAUUAUAUAAAUAUAUAAUUAAAUAUUACAUUGUUUAAUUAUAUUAUAAUAAUUAGUAUAAAGAUUAAAUAUUAUAAAAUAUUUUAGUGUAACUGAUAAUAAAUAGUUAAAUAUUAAUAAAUUUAAAUAAUAUAAAUUUAAAAUUAAUACUAAUAUAAAUAAUGAUAUAAUUACAUAUACUACAAUACAUAUUGUACUAAACAUGAUAUUGCAUUAUAACUUAAUACAUCUAAUGGUGCGUUUACUAAUUAAUAAUUAGUAAUUGGCUAGAAUCGAAAUGGAGGAGUGAAAAUCAAAAUAAAAUUAUUUAUUUUAGCUGUAGAAAUCGGGAUAGGAAUGAGCUGUAUUGUGUUAAUUUUAUCUUGAAAUUAUAAUAAAUUGUUUUAGAUUACUAAAAUGGUUUUAGUUUAUGAUUAACAUUAUUUUUAUCAUUUAUUAUAAUGAUUAUCAUUAUUAUUAUUAUUCAAGAAAAUUUGUUAAUACUAAUAAUAAUAGACUUAAUAGUUACAGUUGUUGUUGUUGUUGUUGUUGUUGUUGUGUCUAUAUUCUCUCUUUUGUCCUUUUUUCCCUCUUUUUCUCCUUCUCUUUUUUCUUUCAUUUUUUUUUAUUUUUUAUUUUUCUUUUCUUUAUUAUUUCUUUUCUUCUUCGUCUAUUCUUAUUUUCUUAAUUUUCAAACUCAUUUUUCUUUUUCUCUUAUUUUUUGUUACUUCUUCUUCUUCUUCUUCUUUUUUGUUUCGUUUUUAUUUUUUCCUCUUCUUUAUCAUUUCUUAUUGUUCUCCCUUUGGUCUUCAAAUCAACAAGUGAAAGACACCGACAAUGCUACAUGAUGAUCGAUGACGCAAUUCCUACUUGCUGCGUGAUGAGAUCUUAGUUUUGGUUAAUGUGAUUUUCAAUUUUUUUUGUAUUUUUUAUUUUUAUUAUCUAAAAAGAGAAUAAAAUUGCAACAAUGUAAUUUGGGAUAUUUUUUAGAGUUUUGGGAAUGAGAGUACUUUAAACUCUCUCUAAUAUUUAAAAGGUGUCUACUCUACUCAUAUUUUGUAAAAGAGGGACUGUUUCCAGUCAAUUAGUUGAUAAUUGAGAGAGUACUGAAACUAACCUCUAUAAUAUUCUUAUGAAAGCUUAAACACUUACACUCGAUAUUGUAAGUGGAAGUUUCUUCUAUUGGACCAAAAGUCCAUUGGUUAAUGUAAUAUACCUUAAUACAACACAAUAGUAUGUCAAACAUAUCCUAUAAGACAAAAAUCUGAUGUAAAAGGCUGAUGUGGCCCAGAUAAGUCUGGACUCUCGGGCAGCACAAAGGGCCCAAAUAGACCCAUAAAACCUUAACCUCAAAUAAAUCAAGUUGAUAGUAACUCUUUACACUCACAUCCCCUGAAGACAGUUUCAUCUUUGUCGUCUCCUUAACGGCAUCUUGGCUUCACUUCUGUAAAUACAACUCGUUUGCCAAUUGAAUGUUGUUUCCCUUACUUCUCACCUGCAGUGAAAGGGUUAUUUCGAUUUCAAUAAAUUGUUUUUGUUGCACAUAAUUCCUUAGUUUAAAAUUUGAAUGUAUGUAAAGAUUGGCUUCUUUCACCAUAAAUAUAUUUUCUGACAACUGCAGAGCUUGUUUAAUUCAGGGCCGGAUUCCCAGUCCCACUGAAAAAAAAAUCUUUUAAUAAUUAAUUUAAUUAUCUUAUAAUUUCUAAUAAAUUUUUCUUAAAUCCCCAAUAAUUUAUAUUCAAGCCCCUAAUACAUAUCUACACUUAAAUUCUCACACUCCAAAAUUUUAAAACAAAUCAAAAGAGAUGGACUUUACAAACUAAAAUCAAGCCCAAAAACAUCAAUAUUAAUUAAAUUUUUAAACAUAAAUAUUAGUAUUAGUGUAGAGAGAGCAUUUUCAGCCAUGAACAUUUUAAAGAAUCGGUUACGAAACCAAAUAAGAGAGCAAUGGAUGAAUGAUAGUUUGGUUGUUAUAUAAAAAAAAAACCUAUUUAAUAAUAUUGAUAAUGAAGUUGUAAUGCAACAUUAUCAAUGUAUGAAAACUCGUAAAGGACAAUUGUAAACAUAUUUUGAAGUAUGAAAAACCUUUCAAAUUUAUAUAUUUAUUAUUUUUUAAAUUUUUUUAUAUUAUUGUUGAAUAAACCCCCAGUCAAUCAAUAUACUGACUCCACCCCUGUUGUUUAUUGUCUUAUAAUUUAGAACAAAGAAAGCAUACAAGAUGACAUGAUUUCGAUGUCAUUGCAGUCUUAAUACCAUCUCUAAAUAAAAAAGAUAAAAUAAAAAAUCUUUCUCAGUCUCUCUACCAUACGCCGGGUUCAUUGAGAAAAAAAUGGUACGGGGAUAUUUGUGGCAUUAAAGUUGGUGUAACUGGUAUGUGAGUGGCCAUUCCUUCUUUUUUUUUUUUUUGGGGGAUAGUAAAGCAUAAAUAGUACGUGAGUGGCUUUGAUUUUUAUUCUUUAAUGCUUGUAAUUAAAAAGUGGGGUUAUAAGAACAGUAGUGGGGUGGUGGUAGCACACUCUAUUAAAUAUCCACUCAGUCCUCAGCGGCGUCAGCACUACUACUUUGCCCAUGCAAUAUUUGCCCGAAUCCUCUCCUCGGCAGGCAAACGCAAAACUCUAAACUAGCCCUUCUGAAACGAGGCGUUUUAGUGUUUUACUUGCGAAAUUUGACUGGACAAAGUAGCAACCUUGAAUGAUCCACAUAUUAUUUGAAGAGGUUCUGAUCUAAUCAUCUAAUGCGCGCUGUCACGCAUUGUGUGCAACGAUGCGUAUGAUGAAUUUUCAUUAACUAAAUUAUGUGUCCUCAGUACAACUCUACCGGUACAAAUUUGUCACAUAUAUCAGUUGUUCACCAUAACGUGCACAUAUAAUCAAAAUUCUUUUAAGUUAUAUAUACUGAUUUCAUUCCGCAUUUGCUCUUAUUGCAUACAAAUUAUCAUAGUUUGGGCUUUUAUGAAGGAUGCUGAUAGGCGUGGCCAAAACUAAAUUGGACCUGAAAAAUUACCGGUUCGAUUUGGUUUUUUAGGGUUUUCGAUCGUUAUUUUUUCUUAGAAAAAAGUGAAUAUUUUGGUUUGUUAUAAAAUCAAAUACUUUAGUUCGGUUUGCAUGUUAAAGUUUCAAAUCUGAAAAUCAAACCAAAAAAUUGAAAAAAUAAUUUUUAAAUAAAAAAAUUUCAUAUCAUUUAGGGGUGGCCCAAACUAAACUGGACUUGAAAAACUUCGAUUUAAUUCGGUUUUCUAAGCUUCAAUUCAUUAUUUUAUAACUAAAAACACUGAAUGAAUUAACGUCAAAAUCAAACCGAAUGAAAAUUUCCAAAUUGAUUUUUUGAAUUCCCAAAUUACAAGCAAAUUUUGCAAAAAAAACAUCUUUGGCAUCGGUGUGAGCGAAUUUAAAUCUCUAAAAGGAAAUAUAGUAUUUUCAUUUUUUUUUUAAUGUAAGGAUAGAUAAUGGAAUCCUUACUAGGGCUCAAUCCACUUCUCGGCACGCGGAGGGAAGUGGUGUGUAACACCUGAUGAAAGAUUUUCUGGUAAGAAAGACAAGAAGACGAUAAGAAAAAAAAAUAUUUUAUUUAAUUUUAUAGUUUGUUUUGUAGUUUAGAGAAAAAUGUGUAUAAAUUUUAACUUCUAUUAGUGCAAAGUAGAUUUUGUUUUGUGUAUUUUUUAAUUUGAUUUUAGGUUUAGGCUUAACAAACAUGUAUUACACAUUUAGUAUUAAAAUGAAAAUGAAAACAUGGGCUAAAAAAUGACCUUAGGGCAUGUUUGGCGCGCGGGUUUCAGGGGGUAUGGAUUGUACAAAAUUUUCAGCACCAUGUUUGGUGCGGAUAAUUAAGGUGAGACUAUGUAUAAAUAAAUCAAGUUUGGAUGGCUCAUAAAGACCCGCCCAUUCCCCGAGUUUACGCGGGUCUUGCCACAUUUACCUUUUUUUUUUAAUUUUUAACUCAAUUCUUUAAUUUAUUUUAAUUAUGUAUUAAAUAUAAAUAUUUAAAUCAUGGCCGACGACUUGACCACCGUCGGGCGCCAACUAUUGUUAUUUUCCGGCAUCUUUUGACAUUAUUAUUAGUAUCAAUACAAUUAUUGUCCUGAGCUCUACACGACCGUAUCAAGAUCUUCGGCAACGGAGCUACCGUUUGAUGUAGAUCUACAAUUAAAGUUUUGAGAUUCAAAAUUUUAAUUGUCGAUCUACGGCGAAUGGGAGCUUCAUUUUCGGUGAUUUUAGUACCAUUGUGUAGAGCUCGAUAAGAGAAUUACAAUGAUAUUAAUCAUUACCUAAACAAACAAUGUUAAAAAAUUUCCAGUGGUUGUCAAUGGUGGCUGCCAGUGAUUAAUUCAUUUUCUAUUAAUAAAAUUAUAGUUUAAUAUAAUAUAAUCAUAUUAAAUAUUAAAAUACACAAUACAUUCCAUACUUACACAAGGUUAAUGUAUUAUUUAAUACCUUUUAAUACAAUAUAAUCCAUUACAAACCAAUACAGACUACUACAAUCCCAUCUACCACAGACCACCUUAGUGUUUUACUUGCCAAAUUUUGUUGGAUAACGCGCAUAGUCAUGCACUAUGUGCGAUGAUACAUAUGAUGAAUAUUUACUAAUAAAAUUAUGUGUCCACGAUUCAACUCUACCAAUAAAAAUAUAUCACAUGCAUUGUCGUUCACCAUAACGUGCGCGCUUAGUUAAAAUUCUUUAGUUAUAUAUACUGAUUUCAUUCCACAUUUACUCUUAUUACAUACAAAUUAUCAUAUAUUACACUUUUGUGAAGGAUGGUAAUGAAUCGAUCAAUGCUAGUCUAUUGAUGAAUAGUAAUCAUGAGAUAAGAGUAUUCAAUUGAUUCUACUAAAGCAAGGGUACUUGCACUUGGAUUAUGAAAUUAGAUCCUUAAGAGUCUUUCCAGUCAUACUAAUGUACCGACAUUCUGAAAAUCUUUUUGCUUUUUGUAAAAAAGAAAACAGAUGCUCAUAUGGCAGUGGCUAGAGCUGAAGCAACAGUGGCGUCGUCCCCCUGAAAAUUAAGAUAAUCCAAAGUAAGUGUCUUCUUCUCAGCCACGUUGGAAACCCCCUCCUGAAGGUUGGUUUAAAAUGAAUGUGGAUGCAGCAAUCAAGUCAAAAAAGAUCAAUAUGGUUGGUUGGAAUCGCCAUCACGAACCACAAUGGAGAGUUCGUAGCUGCUGCUGUAGCAUCUGCGGAAGCUAGAGCAGCAAAUUGGCGACUAGAAAUUGCAGGAGAUGCUGCAUGUAUUCCACUGAUUGGUGAAUCAGAUUGCCAAGAAGUGAUGAACCUAAUCACGGAAAAGAAGAGCAGCAAGAUGGAGAUUGUUUGGACCAUUUCUGAGGCCUUCAAAUUAAGAAUAUAUAAUGCUAUAAAUAUUUCGACAUAAGCCUAGAAGUUGUAGCUCAUGCUUCAGUUCAGUUAGUCUAGCUUCAAAGGUUGUUGAACCCGUUGUUUGGCUGGGGACUUGCUCGCCCUAUCUUUUGUACUCAACCACCAGUCUUCACAUUUUUAUUACUAAAAAAGAAGGAAAAUAAAUAUAGUAUUAUUUAUUUAUUUAUUUUUAAUGCAAGGAUAGAAAAUGGAAUCAUAACUAGGGCUCAAACCACUUCCUUCCACGUGGAGGGACGUGGUGUGUGACACGUGACGGAAUUGCCGCGGCUCAAAUAUUUGGAUUUCGAAAAGAUGGCGCAGAGAUCCCCGCUACCCACCCACCUCAAAUCAAUCGUCUCUUUAUUUCAUAAGCUUUUAUUUAUGUUGAAAAGCGUGAAAUGCAUUUACUCUUUCUCUGUUGAUUUCCUGACUAGAAAUAAACAAAAUAUGUAUUUAAUAAAGGGAGCCCUUAAAGUUAUAUGUAAUGUAAUUUACACCCACAAAUAAUAGGUGAUGUGAGGUUCAUCUAUUAUUUGUGAGUGGUACAUGUAACUUAGUAUUUAUUUUUUAUAAUAAAAUAUUACAUGAAAAAAUCGCUUUAGUUAUUUUAUACAUGAUUCUUUCAUUAAAAAAAAAUUAAUGGUUAUGAAAAUAAUAUAAUGUUAUUAUUUUAUAUAUUCACAAUCAUUGAAUUUUCAUCAAAUCAACUGUGAAAUGGUUAUGUAUCUUACGUAAUUAUGUAAGAUAACAACCUCGAAAAAUCUAUUAUCAUAUGUUCAUGUCCAUUUCUCGAUGACUCAACAUGGGCGUUCGUAGGAGCAACGUAAAAGAUUAGUUGAUAGGGAAUCAAGAGAAAAUUUGGAAGGAUAAGAUUAAGAACAUAGAAGCGGUUGUCAUGGCUGAAAAGGCAGAAAAUUAGAGAUUUUUCAUGUCCUUUUUUGCAAUUAAAGUUAAUUAAAUCUGAUGCGUUUGGGUUUGGAGUUCUCGCCAAAUGGGCUCAACUCGUUGGCGCCUUUUCUUUUCACUUUCGGCAAAGGUUUCGUGAGAGAGCUCCACGUGUGUGGAAAUUGGAAUGCAAACAUUGAAAGCUCUCAAACUUAUAAAGAAGAAGACCGUCGAAGAGUUGAAAACCUUAGAAGACGGAUCUGCCCCUAGACCGACCUCAGAGUUAACUACCAUUUUCCUUUUGUUGUUUUUAUUCAACACAGUAUUUUUUACACCGCACGAUUCACCUACUCGGCAUAUCACAGUCCUUCACUCCCAUUGAGGAGCCUAUAUUUAACAAGCCUCCUGGAGGAGGAAAAAAGAAAAAUCCAUCGAACGAAGUAACCAAAACAGGAACUGAAAAUGAAAAUAAAAUUGGCAGCUCACUUUCUGCUGCUGUUGGCCUUCAGUGCGUUCAUGCUCUCGGAGGCCGAAACGCAGCUGAAACCUCAUGCUAUUGAAUCGUUUACCGUCAAUUAUAUUCAGGUACGAGUGUGGUUCUUUUUAUUAUUAUUAUUAUUAGUAUUUGUGAACUUGGUAUAUUCCGUUGUAUGUAUUAUGUUUGAUAAUUGUUUUAUUUUUAUUUUGAACCAAAAAUAGAAGUUCGGGAACUGCACGUACCUGGUGGUUAUAAAAACUAGCUGCGACUCAAAAAACUUUACUCGUGAUAGGAUCAGCAUCGCUUUUGGUGAUGCUUAUGGCAAUCAGGUUUGCUUCUUUUCUUUUUUUUAGAACAUAUAUAUUUUAUUUUAUUUCAGGUUUAGGCCAGGAAAGUAGUUUUUAUGUUUUUCUAUUUUUUCUUUUGAGAAAUUUUUUUUUAUGUUUUUAACCAGUUCGUUACUGUUAUGAUGCAUAUAUAAUUUUUUGAGAACGAAGUCAAAAUAAUUCAUCCAUGGGUUUCGUAUAAAAAGUUGGCUUUCAAAUUAAAGCACAAGGGCUUUUUAAUAUUAAAAGAACAAAAAUUAAGCACAACCCUAAAACGGGCUCGCAGAGUUUGUGUGUGGGCUGUCGCAGACUCCCAGAUGAUAUGUUACAAAAUUUAUGGGGGUUGUAUUCGAGCGCUGUCUUAUGUAUCGAUCAUAGGUGUUUUUCAAAGCAAUUGCUUCUUGAUGAAGGGCUUGUGCUUUAAUUUGAGUUUAUAGAAGUAAUUGUGCUGCUAAUUAGGUCAGUUACUCUGCUAGUACGCUCAUGCUUCUUGAAUAUUUUCGAGAGCUUUAUCCAGAAAUAUAUUUAAAGCUAACAUCUUAGUGGAGUUUGAUGUUGAUUUUUUUCUUCUAUGGUAAUAAUUAAUAUUGUUGAAACAAUGAUAAUCAGAUUUAUGCACCGAGACUGGACGAUCCGUUCACCAAGACAUUCCAAAGUUGUUCGUCCGAUGGGUUCCAGAUUGACGGACCAUGUGCAACCGAUAUCUGUUAUGUGUAUUUGCACCGAUCAGGACUUGAUGGUUGGGAACCAGAGAGUGUGAAGAUUAUCAGUCCAAAUUCGAGCCCUGUCACAUAUGACUUCAACACCUCCGCUCCCAAUGAGGAUUGGUACGGAGUCAAUUUGUGCCAGAUACAUCCUCCUCCUUCUCCAUUUGAACCUUCGCCUCCUUUUCCAAUUAAACCUCCGCCUUCUCCUCCAUCUUCUUCUCAUCAGCAUCGCGUUCCCGGAUUGUUCGGGCUCGUAAUGAUUCUGGGAUCCAUCCUGAGUGCUCUGUUGUAAGCGCCCUUGAUGGUUUGUUUGGUUUUAUGUAUGUGAUUCUGGGAUAGUCCUAAGUGUUUCUGUUAUGUGCUUGCAACUACUAUCUGCCGUUAUUUUGUCUGCGGCACGAUUGGUGCAAUAAUAUGUCAUGUUGUUAUUAGUUGUAAUAGGAUAUUUAUCCAUGUCUGCCGGAUAUUUUGUAAGCUUUAUAAUAGUUGUGAACCGUGCUUUUGCAGCUAUUAAUUAACUAAUGUUGUUUUGUUAUUAACUACUCUUUGCAUAGCCCCUUCAAGAUGGGGGUUUUAUUUCAUGAUCAAGAUUUUCCCUUGAUUUGAUUAUAUUUUGGGAUAAAAUUAUGUUGCAACUAUGGUAUGCUACUGCAGUUGUUUUCAGUCGUUAGAUGUACAGUUAUAUAGUUAUAUUAGUUGGAUCUAAUGAUUGAAAACAAUUGUAGUAUCAUAUUAUAGUUGUAACAUAGUUGGACCCCAAUUGCAUGAUUGAUAGUUUAUAAAAAAAAAAAAUUGAAUCUUCUUCAUUCACUAUCACUAAAAGACACAUUGAAAGAAGAUUUUAAAAAAUUCAUAAGAAAUCAGAUCAAGAAAUGAUCAUUUUCUUUCGUUUCAUGGCUUUGCCUUAAACGCAAUUGAGAGUGGCCUUGGGCUCUUGGACAUUUUAUUUAAGAAAGGUGCUGGAAUUAAUGGUGUUACUGGAGGCGUCGCUAAAAGCAAUCGGCUAUAAUUUACUUGGUUAUUGUUUCGCAGCAAAGCUCGUGUUUCUUGAUGUGUCGUCUGUGUGGCCGUUGAUUUCAAUUCUCGAUUACGUGUCAUCUCUGUUCAGUUGAGUGAGCUUUUUCUUUUUUGGUCCCCAUUGCCUACAGCCACGAAUUUGAAAAACGUAAGACAUGUCGUCAUGUAGACAAAUUUGAACGGUGACGGUGUAGUAGUGGAGCCGAUUGAGACACGAUAUCGACUGAUUAAACUUACUUUAUAUGGGAAUCUUGUGAAAUUUUUAAUUAUGAUUUUUUAGGGUGACGACAACUUAAUUCAUUUUUCUAUAGAUGCAUGAGUUGGUUUUGAAUCUUAGUGCUUUUGAUUUUUACAUAAAAUUAUAUUAUCUCAACUAAAUAGUCUAUACAGAUUACAAAUGUUAUAAGAAUAUACUUUUAAGUGUUGUGAGAUGUUUUCAUUACUAAUUUACUAGUACUAACUUUUUUUUUUCUAAAAGAUAAAUUAAUUAGCGUCCAAAAUAUUAUUGUAAGAAUAUUAUUAUAAAAAUUAAGGAAAAGUAAUUUUUUAAAAGAUAAAUUAAUUAAUGUUAAGAAUAUUAUUAUAAAGAUAUUAAUAUGAAAAAAAUAACAUAAUUAAUUGUAAAGACAUUUUAAAGUGUUGUUAAAAAUAUAAGUGCUUUGGGGUAUAAAAAAUAGUUACUUGAGUUCGAGGAGAAAGUUAUUUGGUCACAUGUGCAAGCGCGACCAACGUUCUGUUAGGAGAAUAGAAUCAGGUCGCAUGGCUUUGGUUAAUAUCUCAUAUUGUUGAGCUUCAUUUGGAAGCUCAUCCGUAACGUAUAUGCACGCUCUGCUUUAAUGUUUAAAGCACAAUCAGGCAUUAUAAUGGUUGCUCAACAACUAGAUAAAUUGAUAUAUUAACUCUUAGAUUCAAGUGGCAUACUCAAUUUGGUAAUGACCACGCAGUAAAGAACGAACAAUAACGCGCGACAUGCAUAGUUCUCUAUAAGAACUGGGGGAGAUCCAGAAAAUGGAUUUUUUUUGGGGUUUUGAUUAAAAAAAUAGAAUUCUAGAAAAAAUACAAAAUACUUAAAAUCACAAGUGUGACAUUAUUAUUUUCCUUACAAAGAAAAACCUGAUUGCUGACUUGAGCGUUGGAAGGUUUUUACUAGAAAAAAUACGGCGUCCCUGACAGUUUUCUGUUGUUGCAGAUCAAAGGAAAUGUCAGUACAAUUCAAAUUCCACUACAGUAUCAAGCGACAAAUGCCCCAUCAAAAUAAAUUAAAGUGUUGGCGAGACAAUUUGGUCGCCGACCGAAUUACGGCAUCAACAAUAAAAAUUAAAUAAGAACUUAAGUUAAAAUAUAGAAAUUAAAUAAAGAUUUAUCCUAAGUUUAGAUAUCAAAUUUACUACGGAUCUUUGAUGGAGAAAGUUACCAAAAGAAACAAAAAGUCCAAAUUUUUGUCUUCAAAAGAUAGUGCACCUAGAUUGACCCUUAUAUACUAGAAGAAAGAGAUGGGAUUGAUUAUCCUUCACACAAGCUUCAAGAUAAUUCUUUUUAACCAAAAAAAAAAAAUUGUAAAAGGGAUUAAGAUGCGUAAAAUACAUUUUUUUCCCCCAAAAUUGCGUAAAAUACUUGAUGAAAACAUGCAAGGCAGUGGAGUCAAACUCAAUCGAGACACUGAGUCAGAUAAUUUGAUAGUAUGGUUCACCAUUGUCGACGUCUGCAUGUUUUGUCAAAGAAUGACUCCCAACCGUUUUCCAACAGAAAAACGGGUGUAGUUGGCACUAUUGGUUAUUAAUUAUUUAUUAUUUUACAUUUUCUAAUUGAUUAUUUUAUCAGCUUCCACGUGUGGGUAAGUAUAGUAGAAUAUCAUUGAGGCUCUUUGAAAAAAAAAAAGAAAGUAUAUGCACCUAAUUUCGCUUGAGUAUCUAAUUUAACCAACCAAUUGUGGACCAUGAUAGCCUAGUCUUCUUGAUGUUACAGCCAUUAAAUUGCCAAUCGGUGCAAGCGGUUUUUUUUUUUUAAUAGUAAAUGAUUUCAUUUCCAGUAAAACACAAUAAUUAUAAUAAAAUUUCGAUCUUUAUUGGGACCUCUUCGAUCCACACUCGAGGUGUUGAAAUGAAAAAAGUUAUUUUUUUUCUAAAGCAUGGGCCACUAAGUUAUAAGACCUAAAAGUAUAAGCUAUCUGAUAUUGAUUAUUUUGUUCUAUCAUAACUCUAAUAUCAUAAAGUAUCCAAUCUAACUCUUCUCUACUAGAAGUACCAUUGAGAAUAAAGUUGACAACAUUCUUGGAAUCAUACCCUAUAAGAAGAGGAGAAAGAGCAACAUCCACUGCCAACUUUAUUCCUUCUAAAAUCACUGAAGCUUCCGUAAUUUCUACAUCUCCUAAGCAAGGUUUCUUUGAUGUUGCAGCAGCCAUUACGGCUCCUUGAUAAUCUCUGAGAAUCGGUGCAAGCGGUUUUGGCUCAAAAUGCUUGCUGGUCUUCUAGAAUCUCAUACUUAAUUGACUAGAGAAGUGGAUAGACCUUCACUACCAAAGGGUCACACUACCUCCUCCUUCGAAGUUCAUUUCUCUAGGAUAAUUAUACUUGAUUUUUUUUUCUAGGGAAAGAUUCAUUGGGAUAAAAACCCAAGCAGAAGAAAUAGAAUUUAAUAACUCAUAAUGUAGUGCCUAACGUGCUUCGAUUGUGAUGUGAUUAUGUAAAGCACAGAGUUAUAAUCAUGGACCAACUUGAAAUAUUACACUAGAAACUACUUCCACUUGGGUGAGAUAUUAUGCUCUUUAAGCAAUAAUUUCGUAUCAGUUCAAACAAUAACCUUGAUUGUGUUACUGAGUCUCAUGGCUUUUAGAUAAGUUAUUGAGGUAUAUGGCUUGUAGAUAAAUCACCGAUGAAGAAUAAUUUUCACCGAAAAAUACUAUAGGCUUCAAAUUCAGACUUUGAUGGAUUUGCUAUCUUCAAUUGAUCUUUAGGGGUUUUGGAAUCUUCAAAUGCAUGGCUUUAUAUGUGUGUAAGAAUAUUCAAAUUCUGUCUUCAUUCUGUCGGGUUUUCCUUGCAAUAUUAGUAACAAAUAAAUUUAAAUAAAAAAAACACACAAUAACUAGCCUCAUUUUGUUUAAUGUAGAAGAUCCAAAUUAAUAUGACAAUGAUAGAGAAUACGUAUAAUUAAAUAAACUAGUAAAAUAAAGAGUAGGGUAUAAGAUACUUUCUAUACCCGAGCAAUAAUCAUAUUGAUAACAUGUUAUAAUGUUGAUGAAUUUGGGUAGGAAGCAUUUAACAAUUUUAAUAGAUAAUAUAGAUGAUAUAGAGAUAAGGGGGCUGUGUCAUAUAAAUACAAAGCAUUUUUCUCCCACGCUUAAUUACGGUUGCGUUUAGAAUUGAGGUUAUUCAGUAGUAACUUAAAAGUGACAACACUAAAGUGUUUGGUAAACAUUAGCUGCUAUAGUUUGUAAGCUAUAUUGAUAUGAUUUUUCACUUGUAUAAUGAAAAGUUUAUUAUAUAUUUAAUAAUUUUGUCAAAAUAAUUAUUUAAAAUUUAUAUUUACUAUAUAUUAUUAACUUUUGUUUAAUAGUUAUAAAAUCUUUUUCACAGCAACUAUAACUUAAAAACUACAACACCUCAAUCCCAAACGGAUCGGUUGUCCAAUUUCAAUUCCUGUCUCACUAGAAUAAUAAGCUUAAUUAAGUGUUCAGCUCCUUAGCUUUAUAUCAUAUAGCCCCCUUAUCUCUGUAUCAUAUAUAUUAUGCAUUAAAAUUAUUAAUAUAUUCCCUACCCAGAUUUCUCUCAGAUUUGAUCGUGCGAUCUUCAAAGUCAAAAACUUUUAAAAAAAGAAAAUAGUCCGCGUACCUAAACUCAAUUUUUCUAUGGGUGAAUCUGACCCGUAGGAAAAAUAGUACAAACAUCUAUUAUGAUAACGAUACAUUUGAGGACGAUGGCCAAAUAUUUUAUUUUGGUGAAGAUAAGGUUAUAUAUAUUUUAGUGGGACUAUUGUCAUGAAUUUUUAAUCUAUUUAAGAUCUUGCAAAUUAAAAUAUCAAAUAAAAAACAAACAAACAAUAAAAUCAAUCAUAUAAUAUAAGAAUUUGCAUGAAAAAAUCAUAUAUUAAAAAAAACUAUAACUACAAAGAACAAUAAGAGAAAAAUCUAUUAUGUGAAAAAUUAUUAUAAUCAGUUUAAUAUUUUUUUCACAUACAAAAUACUAAUAAUAUCCUAUCUUUCAAUAGAUCUACCAUUUUUCUUAUACUAAAAACUGUUUAUUUACAGAGAAAUUGAGUGAUUUACAAGUGAACCCAACUUCUACAUUUAUAGUGAUUAUUUAUUGUACAAGUAAUAUUCAUUUUCUUAGAAGAAUUAUAUUCAGUCAUUGAAUAAGUUAAGUACUAAAACGAAAAGACUCAUUAAAUAAUAUUUUACUUCUCAUUUGAAGUAGCCACAUUAUUAAUAAAUGUUCAAAAAAUUAUACAAAAGAGAUUUUUCAAGUUAGAGCAUCACCAAAAGACUCUUCAAAUAAGAUUUUAUUAAUUAUUUGAAGAGCCACCUCAAUAUUUAAGGCUCCAAAAGACAUUCCAAUUAAGAUUCUUCAAAUAAGAAAUGAUUCUCUCUCUUCAAAUUUGGAGAGUUGAUUUCUCCCUCUUCAAUUUAUAUUUUAUUACUUUUCAUUGAAGAAAGAGAGAGAAGUGCUUUAAUUACUAUUGACUUUUCCUUUAAAAAAAUAAUUAUUUGAUUAAAAUAAUAUUAACUUAUUUCUAUUUGAAGAGUCUUUUGGAGAAUAUCAUAUUUUUUCACCAUUCUAUUUGCCACAUAGGUAAGCAAAUAAGUAUUUGAAGAGUAAAAUUUAUAGAGGCUUUUGGAGAUGCUCUUAGAUUGUCAUUCUCUCUUCUCAAUAUUAAAGAGUGACUUUUAUUUUCAAUUAAUAUUAUAUUAUUUUUUAUCUCAUUAUUAUUAAAAAAAUAAGUACUAUAAUUACUAUUAUUAUUAUUUUGGUUGAGAAAAUAAUUUAAUUAAAAUAAUAUUAAUUUAUUUUUAUUUAAAGAGUUUUUUAAAGGAUGUCAUAUUUUGUUAGGUAAAUAAAUAAGUAUUUAAAAAAUAAAAUUGGAAUAGUUUUGGCUAACGCUCAGUUGCUUAUAGAACAUGGCCGGCCGGCCACUACUCACACAGUGAAAAUAGUUAAAAGACAGAUUUGCCCUUAAGAGCGAUGGAACGUCGGGGAUUUGUAAAUUUCCCAAAAAACACAGGCUUGCUAACUUUUUAUUCACCCCACACGAUUCAACUACCCGCAGGCUGCGGCAACAUUAGCAUAUUUAAACAAGGUUUCUGGGGAAUUGAAUAAAAAAUUAACAGGAAAAAAGAAAAAAAAAUCGAAAAUCGAAAAUCGAAAAUGAAAAUCGCAGCUCCCAUUCUGCUUCUGUUGGCCUUUGCGUUCACGCUAUCUGAAGCCGAAACGACGAGCUUGCAGCUGAAGCCUCGAGCUUUCGAGUCCUUUAACGUUAGUUAUAUUCAGGUACCGUAGUUAUUAUUUUAUCUCUCUCUCUUUUUUUAAUAAAUUUAUUAUUUUUUGAGUAGUUGUUGAUAAUCGUUUAAUUUUUUAACCAAAAAAUAGAACCUAGGGAGCUGUUCUUACACGGUGGUCAUAACUACCAGCUGUUCCUCAAGCAAGUACACUCGCGAUCAGAUCAGUAUUGCUUUUGGAGAUGCUUACGGCAAUCAGGUUUUCAAUUUUAUUUUUUUAAAUUUAAAAGUAUCUUUUAAUUUCUUCAGUUUUUAAAUCAGUGUUUUUGUCCUUUUUUUUUUUAAUGGUGAUUCUGGAUUUCAUUUUUAGGAAGGAAAUUGAUAAUUAGAUUUUUGUUUGCUUAAAUGGAAAGUGAUGACCAGUGAUGUAGAAAUUUUUAUGUAUUUAACUGUAGGCUUUUUAAUUUCAUUUUAUUUUUGAGAGCAGAGCAGAGAAAGUAUAUUAGGGUAAAGUUCAGUUGGCUGGAGUUAAUAAAUGCAUGGAUGUAAGAUCAGUUUGGGUUUGAAUUGCAGUGGUUUUAGUCAACAAUUGCUGUGAAAUUGAAUCACUUGUCGUUAAGUUAUAAAGUUGGCGAUUAGCAGUUGAGUAAACUUCAGUUGUGCCUUUUAAAUUAAGUUCAAGCACAACAACCAGAAAUGGGCUCGUAGUCUUAGUCUUUGCAUUGGGUUCUUUUCAUUUGAGAUCCUGUUCCUGGGCGAAAUGCUUUUGUGCUCUUGAAGGAGAUAUUUGUUUAUUUCAGCUUAACACUAUAAUACAAGUAGACCACAAUGCCUAAUUGAAAAUGUUUUGUUCGGACCCAGAAUAGUCUCAAACUUGUAAACCAUCGUUGCGGUGGGGGGCACCUCCUUAGCUCCUUGCCUUCUUCUCAUGAUUGAUGGUUUGAGUGUCCCAGUUUGUUGUGCUAGUGUUUUCUUUGAAUUUCCUGAGUUCACUUUGAAGUAUGCUUGGCCAGAGCACAUAUCAAACUUCUUAUGAAAGUUGAACUAAUUUAAGGGAUUUUGAGUGGAAUUCUCGUAACCUAUUAGUAGAUGUGUUGUUGCUCCAUAUUAAAUACAACAGAAAGCAAUUCUUUAUGUAAUGCAUUCAUUUUGUUUCUAAAGGUCAGGUUUAUCUAGAAAUAUAAAACUACACUAUUCUUAUAGUCAAAUGUGGAUUACUAAUAUAUUUGAAACAUUUGUAAUCAGAUUUAUGCACCAAGACUUGAUGAUCCGUCUACCGAUGCAUUUGAAAGUUGCUCCUCUGAUACAUUUGAGAUAAGAGGACCAUGUGCGUAUCAAAUCUGUUAUGUGUAUUUGUAUCGAACUGGACCGGAUGGUUGGAAACCAGAGAGUGUGAAGAUUUAUGGUGCUAAUUCGAGAGCUGUCUCAUUUUACUACAACACCUUUAUUCCCAGUGAUAUCUGGUAUGGAUUCAAUCUGUGCCGAAGUGCUUCUUCUGCACAUCAACAACAUGUACCCAGAUGGUCUGUGUAUG